CAAAGGAACGUAAAAAGUCAACGCAAGAUAAGACCAUCUUGGGAAGUAUAUUAAUUUUAUUAUACGUAAGAGGUCUCGCAUUUGCAUGCAUAAAGGUUGAAAAUUACAAAUGACACACCGGAGAUUUGAUUGACACACACAUCAACAAUCCAUAUGCAUGAAAAUGACAAGAACUUAAUUUUCUGUUUCUACGCGUGGCAGUUUAUUUUUCUUAAAAAACAAAGAUAAAAGAGAAUAAAACGCAGCAACUCGAUUGAUCGCUAUCUUGCUCCAAGUAAGCCUUCCAUCAAACCCUUGCUUUCUUUAUUCGGAUACCAUUCGCCUCUCCUACAAGAACAAAUUAAUCAAUCUCUUUUAUUUGUCACUUAAUCAAUAGGAACGCAAUUAAACAGAACACGGUGCUUAAAAUUGAAAUGCUUAAUGUAAUUCUGAACUACUAGUCUUUACAUGUACAGUUUUAAAAAUAAAUGAGAUUACCAUAAAAGCAUGAGCUAUUCAUGGCCGCUUUCUAGUAGUAGUAAGGAGGAGGGGGAGAUGCAUAGACGUAAGGGUGAGGUGGUGGUGGGGACUUGGGGACAGGAGGUGGCGGGGAAUAGGAAAUUGGAGUUGGUGCCGGAGCAGGCACGUAGACUGGUGGAGGAGGUGGCGGGGGCAGGUAAACAGGGGGUGGUGGUGGAGAAUUGUGAACCGGUGGCGGGGGUGGUGGAGACUUGUACUUGGGAGGGGGAGGAGAUGUGUAGUAGUAUUUGUUUGCGGAGGCUUCUAACGGCAAGUAGCUAAGAGAGACUGAUACUACCAAAAGAGUGGCAAAGAGGCAGCCCAUUUGAGACCCCAUCGUUCAAUAAAGUGGAGUUUCACUUGUGCUAUAAACAAAGCUCGUUCCCCUCCUUAUAUAGACUUCCUUUUUACCUUCUCUACCAAACUUCUCAUAUUUAACCUUGACGUUAAACAAUUUUAUGUAUGAAAAGGAUGUCAUCAAGUGGGACCAAUUUGACUAAAUUUAAAAUUUAUAUGAUUUUGUUUAGUGGCCAGCUGUUGGCCAAGCAGGGAAUAAAGUAAUUAACAGUCCGAGAGUCACGAUCCUGUUAAAGAUAUGGCUUUUUGUUUUUUAAUCAAUGUAAUAAUUUGCGCAGGGGUCUUUGUGAUUUAUUUCAAUAACGUUAUUCUUCAUGAAGAGCUUGAAAACAUGUACUUAAUUACCUAACUUAUCAUGAAUGUUUUGGCCUUGGAUCCAGGCGGCGAGACUUAUUUUCAACGUCAUUUCAUUUAUUUAUUCAUUUUCACUUCGCAGCUUAUUAAUUGUUUUAAUUCCUCCAAAAACAAGUAGCUAGAGAUAUAUUUAACAUAGCUUUAAUUUAAAUUUCUUAUGAAUUCCUUUUAAUGCUCUUAUCUCACGGUGAAAUUAAUUUUCUCCUUGGGCAUAGCAGAAGCAAAAUAGUAGAUAUCGUUCAAGUACUCGAUCAAGUCAAUGCGAUAAAGUUACGCUCUAAUCGAAGUGUGAUUAAACUCAAAGGGAUUUUCAAUACUGCGUUAAGCAAAGCUAGAUGAUGCUCUAAUCAAACAACUUUAAAAGAGGGGUUUUUAAUAGAUAAUACAAAAGGAAAUUAUAAAAGAGGGGUUUUUAAUUGAAUAACUGAAAUUGAAGUUAUAAAGUAAUAACAAGAUCUCUUUAUUUAUAAUACAGUAAAUAUAUUUUCCGAAGUUAGCUUAAAAAGAGAAAGUAAAUUAUAAUUAUAACAUAAAUAAAAGAAAACUAAGACACUUACUUUAAUUAAAAAAAAAUAUCAGAAGACCUAAAAAUUAAAAUUCUAAAAUUCUAAAAUAACGUCCUACAUCAUUAACAAGCAUAGGAAACAACCUAGUCAUUAUGUAUUAACAAAUUAGUUUAAUUUGAUUCGUUGUCGUUGAUAGCUUGUGGAUCUUUGAAUAUUCAACAUCAACCAACACGUUAAGGACUUGUACAUAUAAUUGAACAAAGUAUGAAAUUGUAAAAUUAACCCUAAAUACAAAAAAAAAAUCAUAUUUUAAAACAUAAAAUUUGUAUGUAAAAAAAUUAUGACGCAACAAUUAAUUUACAAAAUAAAAAGCAAUAUUAGUAUUUAUGCUACACUAGUCCCAUAAUUAGUGCCACAAGGACCGUUUUGCAAUAUAUGCAAAAUUUCUGUGAAAUUGUAUAAUUUAUAUAAUUCAAGGAUUUUACCUUCUAUUUUUGUUUAAUUGAUUUUGAAUAACUGGAUGAUUUCUUCUUCCAUCUCUUCUACAUAUAUAUUUAAAGUUUUAUUAUAAUAUUAUGAAGAUCUAAAUGAUUAUUAAAUUUAUAAAGAUUUAUAAAACCUGAAUAUACUAUAGCACCGGCAUUUAUAAUUUAUUGUCUCUCUUGAGAUAUAAACUAGAUUUGUUCUUCCAACAUAUAUAUCCAUGUGUCCAAUCUAUUUUCCCAACCAAGGUACAUGCCAUCAAUGCUUUCACAUAGAUAUUAUAAUCUAAAUUGAGCAUUCAGAAUAAAAAAUUUCACAUCACUAUUAUUGUUAUUAUUAAUCAAUAGACUUAUUAUGGACGGUUUAGAGUCCUGUUAUUUAUUUUGCAUCAAUCUUGAAUUAUCUUAAGACCGGUUAAAAUAGAUUCUAUUAAUACUAUUAUAUUUUCUUCCUUAAAUGUGUCAUGUAUUUCAUUGUUAUCUUCAAAGUUUAUUCUCUCCAUAUCUCUCUAAAAGAUUGGGGAUACACUUGGGUUAAGAGAUUGGAGAUAAUCUCUAGAUGUAAAGGUUGAUUGACGCCUAAGAAGUCAAUUGUAAGUGUUCUUGAAGCCUUGAAGGCUUGACUAGUGGAAUGCCCAAGCUCGGUGUGCUUGGAGGCGUGGAUGUAAGCAAGGUUGGCCGAACCACGUAAAACUCUCUGUGUUUUAAUCUCUCUUCCUUUAUCUUUUUAUAUUUUGGUUGAUUUAUUUAUUAUUGCUUUAGAUUCGUUUAAGAUUUGCAUUAAGUUUUGAUUAAGAAUUGCAUAAUUUUUAGAAACCUAAUUCACCCCCCUCUUGGGUUGGUUAGAUAUUAUUUCACUAACAUGCCUCUGUUUGUGCAAAAUAUAAUAAGGUAAUUUAGAGUACUAACCAGAGUACUCUUCCUCGAAAUUCUAGAAUAGGUUCGCUAGUUCCAUGAGCCCAUAGAUUGGCCCAUGCUCAGCACUGUUAUAGCUCCACACAUCAUGCAAGAUCACUCCCGCAACUAUUCCACACGACCUAAAGCAACACAUUGCCGACUAGCCCAAUAAGAUCUGCCUUAGUUCAUUAGUUGAAUAAUUUGUUUUAAUUCUAAUUUAUAAUAAGAAUGGCACUGAUAAAAUUACUGUAGCAAUUCCUAUAAUAAUAAUCCUUGUGGAGACGAUCUUGAAUUUUUAUCGUUAUAUUACUUGUUGUCUACAUUUUCACAUUGACACUAAUAGCAUUAGAAAAUCGACAGCAAGUUUUUUGCGCCGUUGCCGGGGAUUGGUGCUUAUUGUGUUUUGUGAAAUCAAUUUUAGUUGGUACAGUGGAGUUCUUUGCCACCAGACUCCAUCACCACAUGGAAUGAUUUGGCUGACAAAAUUUUGAUGAAAUAUUUCCCACCAACAAAGAAUACAAAGUUGAAGAAUGAGAUCACAUCUUUCCAUCAACUUGAAGAUGAAAGCUUGUAUGAUGCAUGAGAAAGAUUCAAGGAGUUACUCAGGAGAUGCCCUCAUCAUGGUAUUCCUUAUUGCAUACAAUUGGAAACUUUCUACAAUGGGUUGAACUCAAGCACUAGGGGCUUUAUUGUCUAACUCAUAUAAUGAGGCUUAUGAAAUUUUGGAAAGGAUAACUAUCAAUGGCCAUCAACUAGACAAGCCACAGUGAGAGGAGCGGCAGGAGAACACAAUGUGGAUGCACUGACAACAUUAACAACCCAAGUAACCUCAUUGACAAAUAUGGUAAAAGCAACGGCCACUGUUCCAGCAACAUUUAACCAAGUUGCUGAAGUCUCUUGUGUUUAUUAUGGAGAGGGACAUCUAUAUGAUAAUUGUCCUAAGAAUUCAGCUUCAGUCAAUUAUGUGGGCAAUUUUAAUAAACAAAAUCCAAGCAAUCCAUUUUCAAACACCUAUAACCUUGGAUGGAGACAUCACCUAAAUUUUUCAUGGAGCAAUCAGAAUCAGCAUGCUGCAGCAUCCAGUGGACAUAACAGACUUGCUCAGCCACCUGGUUUUCACCAGCAAUUUUAAGGGUAAAGAAACACCAGUAAUGAUCAAUUUAGUUCCCUUGAAACUCUAAUUAAGGAGUAUAUUGUGAAGAUUGAAGUAGUGGUCUAAAGCCAAGCUGUAUUUUUAAGAAACUUGGAGAAUAAGAUUGGAUAGCUUGCUACAGCAUUGAGCAACAUACCUCAGGAUAAUUUACUAAACAAUACAGAGGAUCUAAAGAGAGAAGGAAAAGAGCAUUGUAAGGGGAUUAACUUAAAGCCUGGAAAGGAUGUUCAUAUUCUUGUUAAAGUACCAAAAAGAAGAAUGGAACCUAAUUCAACCCAAGGGGAAACUCAAAUUAAAGAAGAGACACAACAACCCUUUUUCCAGCACACUGGUGAGAGUUGCUAAGCUAUAGCAACUGCAAAAAAAAUGAUUCAGUGCUUGUUGAGGAAGUAGCUGCAGCACCAACAAUAACAGACCAUAAUAGAGCAAGAGAAAAGCAAUCUGUAUAGUCUGCUGCAGUACAACAAUUUACACAUCCACCACCCUUCCCACAAAGAUUUCAAAAGCGAAAGCAAGACAAGCAGUUCAGUAAAUUCUUGGAAGUAUUGAAACAACUGCAUAUCAACAUUCCUUUUGUGGAAGCAUUAGAACAAAUGCCAAAUUAUGUAAAGUUUUGGAAAUGUAUAUUGGCAAGGAAAAUGAGGCUUGGAGAAUUUGAAAUAGUUGGUCAAACACAAGAAUGCAGCCAUAUGCUUCAGAGUAAAAUGCCUCAGAAGUUGAAGGAUCUAGAAAGUAUCACAAUUCAUUGUUCUAUAGGAACUAAAUACAGUGGCAAGACACUUUGUGAUUUGGGAGCAAGUAUCAAUCUUAUGACAUUAUCAGAAUUCAAGCAAUUGGGAGUUGGAGAAGUCAGACCAACCACAGUGACAUUGUAAUAUGCUGCCAGAUCUCAUGCUUACCCUGAAGGCAAGAUUGAAGACGUAUUGGUUAAAGUGGAUAAAUUCUUUUUCCUAGUGGAUUUCAUAGUGUUGGACUUUGAGACAAAUAAAGAAGUACCAAUUAUUCUAGGCAGACCCUUUUUAGCCACAUGAUUUUCAAACUUAUCACUAUUACAACACUAAUUUUUAAUAUUGAUAGGAUUUUCAGGUCCUAUUACAACACUUUCAUGAAAUGACUGACCACCUGACCUAGUGUGCACCUCAAACUCAAUGACAGGACAACUAUUGAUAAAAAAAAACUCCUCGAAAACCCAAUACAAUUCACUAUCGUUUGAAAUUAGUUUCCACUGCCUACUUGUACUUUGAGUGAGUAACUGAGUGUCGUCAUUACAAGUGAUAGGCAUUCACAUGAAAGCUCAAUGUUGCAUUGAAGGGUUUAACUGAAAAAAAAAAUUAUUAUUAUUGUAGCACAGUUUGAGUAUAUUUAUGAUUUCUGCUCCCCCAUAUGUGAAUAUAUUUGUGUUCUACCUCUGAAUUAUAUGCAAUGUUUGUAUAAUGUUGUAGCACCUGUGGAAUUUGAUUAAAAUGGCACACAUACACUCUGGACAAAAUGAGGCCUAAGUCUAAAACUUGAACUAUUAUGGCAAUUUUGUAUGAUUAAGAGUGAGAUCUGAGGGUUGAAGAAUCCUUGCAAAUUUGAUGACAGAGUUAAGUUAUUUGUUGCAUGAUUGUGUGAUUAAAGUGUUAUUGUUGUUGUCAUUACUUGAGGACAAGUAAUGGUUCAGGUUUGGGGGUGUGAUAACUUUAUAAAAUAAGAGUUAUCAUGGCACUUUUAGACUUAAAUCAAUAAUACUUAUAGAGUUAAUAAUGUGUUUUCAUUACAUUUUUAUUUUAUUUUACAUAAACAUUCAUCUUAGUUUAUUCGUAAUAAAUUUUGUUUGAUUUAGAAUAAUUUGUGUGCUAAAUCAUAUGCAUAAUUGUAGGUGUCCGGAAGCCCAAAUUUCAAGAAAGGAAUGCUGAUGCAAUAGACUUUCCAAAGAUAGAAAAGAACUUGGCUACAAAAGAAUUAAAACAAAUCUGGAACAGUGCAAUUGCUGUAGCUAUUACUGUAGCAACCAUUGUUGUAGCAAUCCUAGAACAAUGACGGAUAAAAUUCUGUACGAGAUAAUUGCAUAAUUGCAAUCUGAAGUUUCCUAAUCUGACUUAUGUGCGACCUAGGCUUCCGUUUACCCUAAUUUUCAACUACAAAAGAAGCACACAUCAUAAGGAAAAGAGGGAACCGUCACCCAAGGAGAAAAACAUAAAGAAACAAAAGAAAAACAAGCUUCAAGAGAGAGAUUAAGAGUUACACAAGAGGAAAAAUUACAGAGAUCAAUUGAGAGCUCAAUCCUUCUUAUCAUUCUCUUGUUUUCGUGUUUUCUAUUUAUUCAUGGGGAUGUGUUUCAUGGCCGAAACUUUGUUCUUUAUUUUUCUUUCGCAAAUCAUGAACUAAAUUUAUUUGCGGUUGAGUGAUAAACAAUUUUGAUGGUUUAUUGACUGAAAAUAUGAGUUGCUGCAUGUUUGCUAUAGCAUUUUGUUUUGAUAGAAUUUAUUUUUAUUCAUUAUUUCGGUUGAUCACCCAUUUAAUGAUACUAGCUAAGGAAGAGCCACAAAAGGAACCUAUCUUAGUGGAACAUAUCAAAGCAAUACUUGAUCUUAAAUUGAGUUUCCUGGAUUGAGUUUUACUUGAGUCUCAAAAGGGCCAUUCUUGAUUUAAGAUUAGUGUGAACUAGACAUAGGGAUUCACCUUGUAGGGUAAAUAGAAUCUAAGCGUGUAAUGCUAUAUUUUAUGUUGGCAUAACAACUGAUCACUAUUAGGUUGCAUAUAGAUAUAUGAUAUCCAACAUGCGACGGCUAAGGAUGCAUAAGAAUUUUGCUCAGUGCUGUAGCAUAUACUGCAGCAACCUAGCCAACAAUUAGAAAAUAGUCAAGACCAUUAAGAGAGUUUAUUCACUCAACUACUCUAUAUUCCCAUUGGUUUUAUCCUUGAGUUUGACGUGAUAAUUUACUUUGUUGCAUUUUAUUUAUUGCGUUUUUAUUUUAAUUAGUAUAUUUGUUUCAUUAAUUAUUUUAUUUUAAUUUAAAACAAAAUCUGCACUGUUGAAAUUGCUGUAGCAAAUCUAAUAACAUCAAUCUCUGUGAAGACGAUCUUCAAUACUCAUCAUUAUAUUACUUGUUGUGUACACUUGCACAUUGACACCAAUAGCAUUAGUAUUUAUACCCAACAUACCUACAAAAAAAAAUCAAGUUAUGCCUUUUGGAAUCCAAAUACAUUUUGCUCCAUAAUAUGCAUUUCUUUUAACUGGACAUCUAUUCUUCAUGUGACCAUCUUGAUUGCAAUGGUGGUAUACAACUUGAUUGUUAAUGGAGGUACUCUUUACAAAUUAUUCUUAUAAUACUUCUGUUUCAAAUUUGGUUUAUAGCCAAUACCUCAUUUGUCUAACACACAUUUUUGUGAAUUAAGUUAUCCAAUAUCUUUUGCCUAUUUGUAAAUUUUAAGACAACAUCACUAAGUUCAAUAUUCCUUUUCUUGAGCAUCUCAUUUUCCUUUUUCAAAUCAUUUACAUGUGAUUUUAUAUGUUCAUGUGAAGUGCUAGGUUUCUCAUUUGAUAAUGCAACUCUAUCAUGCAAUGCUUUAUUUUCUAAUUCUAUGCAACUAAUCUUUGCACUUAGAGAUUCAUUUUCAUUUGUGAGCUCUGUUGUUUUCUUUUUAAGACAUGCAUUCUUUCUACCAACUUUCAUCAAUUCAUCCUACAAUUCUAUAAAAGCAUCAUAUAACUCAUCAUAAGUAGGAAGAUCAUUUACCUCAUCAAGUUCAUCAUCUCCUAUUGCCAUAAGUGUUAGGUUUGAUACUUCUUGUGAAUCUUCUUCAUCACUCAAUUCUUCAUCGCUAUCGUCCCAAGUAGCCACCAUGGCUUUCUUCUUGAGUUUGUCGAGAAGUGGACACUCCGAUUUUAAAUGACCACGCUUUUGGCAUUCAAAAGCGUGGAUAAGACAUGAAUUAGAAUUGUAAAAAGUUUGAUUUAUCAUAAAUUCUAUAUUUAGUCUAGGACAUUUGUAUACAUUUUUUUCCCAUUUUCUAUAAUGAUAUCUAUUUAUUACACAUGUUAAUUAAGUGCAAUUAUUUAUCUUGAUGUGGAUCAAGUAAAAAAAAAAAAAAGAGAUAUCAAUAAAAUUAGAUCUAAUUUUGAAUAUUAUGUAUACUUUAUGUAGUUUCAAACUUUUUGCUUGUAUUUGGAGACCAUUUAAGGCUGUUGUUGAAGAAGUGUAGAAAGAUGUAAAAUAACCUCAUCUUACAACAACUAUGAAAGAUAUUAAAAUAAUAUUUUUUUCAAAAUCCGAUUUUGAGAAAAAAUUUCAUCCUUAAUUAAACAUCACAUGUAUUAUAGAAAUGCAAAACUACCAUUGUUAUAUUUAAAUUAAAAAAUAAUAAAUAUAUAAGGUAAUAAACAUUAUAACGAGUUUUUAUUUUAAAAUUGUAAACUUUUUUUCCGACAAUAACUCUUAUAUUAAUUUAUUUAUUUUGCCUUUUAUUCAUAAGUUUUAUGCAUAAUCUACAAAUUUUAUGUUUUAUUUUGCAUUUAAUGUUGAUUUUCUUUUUUUAUAUUAUACGUAUAAGUUUUCAUUUUAUUUACCAGUAAUACAUCUAUUUAUCAGUUUUAUAGUAAUUUACUUAUUUUACCUACCUUUUACAAUUCUUAUGUUUCAUUUCCAAAAUUUAUGUUUUAUUUUACAGUUGUUGAUGAUUUGCUAGUUUUAUGUUAUGUUUGCAAGUUUUUGUUUUGUUUACUAGUAAUAGAUUAAUGGGUAAUUUUUAAUUGAGUCCUCAUUAGUUCUAGAAAAAAAAUUCAGAGACCAGAAGUUUACUAAAUGAAUCAAUUAAAUUCUUUCAAGUACAAACUAAUGUCAUUCAAGUCCUUAACUUAAUUGCUCAGUUAAAAAUAUUAACAACGUUGAGGACAUUUUAGUAAAACAACAAUUGAGUUGUUUCUCAUUCUUUAUUUUUGACAGGUGGAAAUAGUUUAAAGUAAACUCAAUUAACCUGAUUAAGUUAAGGAUCAGUUCUUUCAAAUGAAAAAAAAAAAACCUAUAGAAAUUGCCAUAUUCUUCAUGUGAGAGGAGAGAUCGAGAGAACGUGGGAUGGUGCAAAAAAUGUUGUAUAAAUCUACUGUGAUUUUGACCAAAGCUUUGGUAGCAUUGAUUGAGUUCAAGUACUAGAGAGAACCUGAGUUUAAAGGUUAGUAACUCUAUUUUUUUAGUGAUUUCUGCAAGAAUUUUCUGAUAAAAUUUUUUCCAUAUUGAGUGAUCGUUGUGAAAAAUUAGGUUUUUCAAGUCUAUUUUUCAAAAUGACAAACUAUGUUUAAUUAUUGAUGGAUUCUUUUUUUUGUUCAAUGUUGUAUUUUGUUAAUUUGUUGUUUUUAAUUUGCUCUUUAUGUAAUUGUUAGACCAAAUACACCAUUAUUAUACCUGUAUUCAUUUCAACAAUUUGGUAUCGUUAUAUUAAUAAGAUUGAAUUCAUUGUAUUGGCUUCUUUGUUCAUGUAAAAUUGAAUUCUAUGUAUUCUUAUGAGUGAUAAUUUUUCUAUCUAUUAGACUAAAGUCACUAUAUUCACUACUUUCUUUCUUUUUGCUGGGCUAUUUUUUCUUUUUAGUUUAUAUUUUUUAUAUGUAUUAGAUUGAAUUUGCUUUUGUACAUUUUUUAGCCGAAUUACAUGUAUAUUUCAUUUAGGUUGAGUUUUUUUGUUGUUUGCUAAAUAAAAUUAUAUUGGUUUAUCCUUUUUUGAUGCAAUACUUUUUGUUUAAAAUUAAUGCAGGUAGCCAUGUUACCCUUUUUUGGGUUAAAAUUAAUGGGGUGAUGUAUGCGAUAAGAUUAUUAGGCUGUUUCUUGAAAUUCAAGAUGCCAUGAUUAAGCAUGGACACAGUGAAAUGGAUUUGAUUGAAAUUUCUGUUGUAUUGCCAUGGACUACAAGUAGGCAGAGGAAGCUAAUUUCAAACGAUAGUGAAUUGUAUUGGGUUUUCGAGGAGUUUUUUUUUAUCAAUAGUUGUCCUACAUUGAGUUUGAGGUGCACACUAGGUCAGGUGGUCAGUCAUUUCAUGAAAGUGUUGUAAUAGGACCUAAAAAUCCUGUCAAUAUUAAAAUUAGUGUUGUAAUAGUGAUAAGUUUGAAAUUCCUGUAGCUAAAAAGGGCCUGCCUAGAAUAAUUGGUACUUUUUUAUUUGCCUCAAAGUCCAACACUAUGAAAUCCACUAGGAAAAAGAAUUUAUCCACUUUAAUCGGCACGUCUUCAAUCUUGCCUUCAGGAUAAGCAUGAGAUCUGGCAGCACAUUGCAAUGUCACUGUGGUUGGUCUGACUUCUCCAACUCCCAAUUGCUUGAAUUAUGAUAAUGUCAUAAGAUUGAUGCUUGCUCCCAAAUCACAAAGUGUAUUGCCACUGUAUUUAGUUCCUAUGGAAUAAUGAAUUGUGAUACUUCUUGGAUCCUUUAACUUCUGAGGUAUUUUACUCUGAAGCAUAUGGCUGUAUUCUUAUGUUAGACCAACUAUUUCAAAUUCUCCAAGCCUCAUUUUCCUUGCCAAUAUACAUUUCCAAAACUUUACAUAAUUUGGCAUUUGUUCUAAUACUUCCACAAAAGGAAUGUUGAUAUGCAGUUGUUUCAAUACUUUCAAGAAUUUACUGAACUGCUUGUCUUGCUUUCGCUUUUGAAAUCUUUGUGGGAAGGGUGGUGGAUGUGUAAAUUGUUGUACUGUAGCAGACUAUACAGAUUGCUUUUCUCUUGCUCUAUUAUGGUAUGUUAUUGUUGGUGCUGCAGCUUCUUCCUCAACAAGCACUGAAUCAUGUUUUUUUGCAGUUGCUAUAGCUUAGCAACUCUCACUAGUGUGCUGGAAAAUGGGUUGUUGUGUCUCUUCUUUAAUUUGAGUUUCCCCUUGGGUUGAAUUAGGUUCCACUCUUUUUUUUGGUACUUUAACAAGAAUAUGGACAUCCUUUCCAGACUUUAAGUUAAUCCCCUUACAAUGCUCUUUUCCUUCUCUCUUUGGAUCCUCUAUAUUGUUUAGUAAAUUAUCCUGAGGUAUGUUGCUCAAUGCUGUAGCAAGCUGUCCAAUCUUAUUCUCCAAGUUUCUUAAAAAUACAGCUUGGCUUUAGACCACUACUUCAAUCUUCACAAUAUACUCCUUAAUCAGAGUUUCAAGGGAACUAAAUUGAUCAUUACUGGUGUUUCUUUACCCUUAAAAUUGCUGGUGAAAACCAGGUGGCUGAGCAAGUCUGUUAUGUCCACUGGAUGCUGCAGCAUGCUGAUUCUGAUUGCUCCAUGAAAAAUUUAGGUGAUGUCUCCAUCCAAUGUUAUAGGUGUUUGAAAAUGGAUUGCUUGGAUUUUGUUUAUUAAAAUUGCCCACAUAAUUGACUGAAGCUGAAUUCUUAGGACAAUUAUCAUAUAGAUGUCCCUCUCUAUAAUAAACACAAGAGACUUCAGCAACUUGGUUAAAUGUUGCUGGAACAGUGGCCGUUGCUUUUACCAUAUUUGUCAAUGAGGUUACUUGGGUUGUUAAUGUUGUCAGUGCAUCCACAUUGUGUUCUCCUGCUGCUCCUCUCACUGUGGCUUGUCUAGUUGAUGGCCAUUGAUAGUUAUCCUUUCCAAAAUUUCAUAAGCCUCAUUAUAUGAGUUAGACAAUAAAGCCCCUAGUGCUUGAGUUCAACCCAUUGUAGAAAGUUUCCAAUUGUAUGCAAUAAGGAAUACCAUGAUGAGGGCAUCUCCUGAGUAACUCCUUGAAUCUUUCUCAUGCAUCAUACAAGCUUUCAUCUUCAAGUUGAUGGAAAGAUGUGAUCUCAUUCUUCAACUUUGCAUUCUUUGUUGGUGGGAAAUAUUUCAUCAAAAUUUUGUCAGCCAAAUCAUUCCAUGUGGUGAUGGAGUCUGGUGGCAAAGAACUCCACUAUACCAACUAAAAUUGAUUUCACAAAACACAAUAAGCACCAAUCCCCGGCAACGGCGCAAAAAACUUGCUGUCGAUUUUCUAAUGUUAUUAGUGUCAAUGUGAAAAUGUAGACAACAAGUAAUAUAACGAUAAAAAUUCAAGAUCGUCUCCACAAGGAUUAUUAUUAUAGGAAUUGUUACAGUAAUUUUAUCAGUGCCAUUCUUAUUAUAAAUUAGAAUUAAAACAAAUUAUUCAACUAAUGAACUAAGGCAGAUCUUAUUGGGCUAGUCGGCAAUGUGUUGCUUUAGGUCGUGUGGAAUAGUUGCGGGAGUGAUCUUGCAUGAUGUGUGGAGCUAUAACAGUGCUGAGCAUGGGCCAAUCUAUGGGCUCAUGGAACUAGCGAACCUAUUCUAGAAUUUCGAGGAAGAGUACUCUGGUUAGUACUCUAAAUUACCUUAUUAUAUUUUGCACAAACAGAGGCAUGUUAGUGAAAUAAUAUCUAACCAACCCAAGAGGGGGGUGAAUUAGGUUUCUAAAAAUUAUGCAAUUCUUAAUCAAAACUUAAUGCAAAUCUUAAACGAAUCUAAAGCAAUAAUAAAUAAAUCAACCAAAAUAUAAAAAGAUAAAGGAAGAGAGAUUAAAACACAGAGAGUUUUACGUGGUUCGGCCAACCUUGCCUACAUCCACGCCUCUAAGCACACCGAGCUUGGGCAUUCCACUAGUCAAGCCUUCAAGACUUCAAGAACACUUACAAUUGACUUCUUAGGCGUCAAUCAACCUUUACAUCUAGAGAUUAUCUCCAAUCUCUUAACCCAAGUGUAUCCCCAAUCUUUUAGAGAGAUAUGGAGAGAAUAAACUUUGAAGAUAACAAUGAAAUACAUGACACAUUUAAGGAAGAAAAUAUAAUAGUAUUAAUAGAAUCUAUUUUAACCGGUCUUAAGAUAAUUCAAGAUUGAUGCAAAAUAAAUAACAGGACUCUAAACCGUCCAUAAUAAGUCUAUUGAUUAAUAAUAACAAUAAUAGUGAUGUGAAAUUUUUUAUUCUGAAUGCUCAAUUUAGAUUAUAAUAUCUAUGUGAAAGCAUUGAUGGCAUGUACCUUGGUUGGGAAAAUAGAUUGGACACAUGGAUAUAUAUGUUGGAAGAACAAAUCUAGUUUAUAUCUCAAGAGAGACAAUAAAUUAUGAAUGCCGGUGCUAUAGUAUAUUCAGGUUUUAUAAAUCUUUAUAAAUUUAAUAAUCAUUUAGAUCUUCAUAAUAUUAUAAUAAAACUUUAAAUAUAUAUGUAGAAGAGAUGGAAGAAGAAAUCAUCCAGUUAUUCAAAAUCAAUUAAACAAAAAUAGAAGGUAAAAUCCUUGAAUUAUAUAAAUUAUACAAUUUCACAUAAAUUUUGCAUAUAUUGCAAAACGGUCCUUGUGGCACUAAUUAUGGGACUAGUGUAGCAUAAAUACUAAUAUUGCUUUUUAUUUUGUAAAUUAAUUGUUGCGUCAUAAUUUUUUUACAUACAAAUUUUAUGUUUUAAAAUAUGAUUUUUUUUUGUAUUUAGGGUUAAUUUUACAAUUUCAUACUUUGUUCAAUUAUAUGUACAAGUCCUUAACGUGUUGGUUGAUGUUGAAUAUUCAAAGAUCCACAAGCUAUCAACGACAACGAAUCAAAUUAAACUAAUUUGUUAAUACAUAAUGACUAGGUUGUUUCCUAUGCUUGUUAAUGAUGUAGGACGUUAUUUUAGGAUUUUAGAAUUUUAAUUUUUAGGUCUUCUGAUAUUUUCUUUUUUAAUUAAAGUAAGUGUCUUAGUUUUCUUUUAUUUAUGUUAUAAUUAUAAUUUACUUUCUCUUUUUAAGCUAACUUAGGAAAAUAUAUUUACUGUAUUAUAAAUAAAGAGAUCUUGUUAUUACUUUAUAACUUCAAUUUUAGUUAUUCAAUUAAAAACCCCUCUUUUAUAAUUUCCUUUUGUAUUAUCUAUUAAAAACCCCUCUUUUAAAGUUGUUUGAUUAGAGCAUCAUCUAGCUUUGCUUAACGCAGUAUUAAAAAUCCCUUUGAGUUUAAUCACACUUCGAUUAGAGCGUAACUUUAUCGCAUUGACUUGAUCCAGUACUUGAACGAUAUCUACUGUUUUGCUUCUGCUAUGCCCAAGGAGAAAAUUAAUUUCACCGUGAGAUAAGAGCAUUAAAAGGAAUUCAUAAGAAAUUUAAAUUAAAGCUAUGUUAAAUAUAUCGCUAGCUACUUGUUUUUGGAGGAAUUAAAACAAUUAAUAAGCUGCGAAGUGAAAAUGAAUAAAUAAAUGAAAUGACGUUGAAAAUAAGUCUCGCCGCCUGGAUCCAAGGCCAAAACAUUCAUGAUAAGUUAGGUAAUUAAGUACAUGUUUUCAAGCUCUUCAUGAAGAAUAACGUUAUUGAAAUAAAUCACAAAGACCCCUGCGCAAAUUAUUACAUUGAUUAAAAAACAAAAAAGCCAUAUCUUUAACAGGAUCGUGACUCUCGGACUGUUAAUUACUUUAUUCCCUGCUUGGCCAACAGCUGGCCACUAAACAAAAUCAUAUAAAUUUUAAAUUUAGUCAAAUUGGUCCCACUUGAUGACAUCCUUUUCAUACAUAAAAUUGUUUAACGUCAAGGUUAAAUAUGAGAAGUUUGUAGAGAAGGUAAAAAGGAAGUCUAUAUAAGGAGGGGAACGAGCUUUGUUUAUAGCACAAGUGAAACUCCACUUUAUUGAACGAUGGGGUCUCAAAUGGGCUGCCUCUUUGCCACUCUUUUGGUAGUAUCAGUCUCUCUUAGCUACUUGCCGUUAGAAGCCUCCGCAAACAAAUACUACUACACAUCUCCUCCCCCUCCCAAGUACAAGUCUCCACCACCCCCGCCACCGGUUCACAAUUCUCCACCACCACCCCCUGUUUACCUGCCCCCGCCACCUCCUCCACCAGUCUACGUGCCUGCUCCGGCACCAACUCCAAUUUCCUAUUCCCCGCCACCUCCUGUCCCCAAGUCCCCACCACCACCUCACCCUUACGUCUAUGCAUCUCCCCCUCCUCCUUACUACUACUAGAAAGCGGCCAUGAAUAGCUCAUGCUUUUAUGGUAAUCUCAUUUAUUUUUAAAACUGUACAUGUAAAGACUAGUAGUUCAGAAUUACAUUAAGCAUUUCAAUUUUAAGCACCGUGUUCUGUUUAAUUGCGUUCCUAUUGAUUAAGUGACAAAUAAAAGAGAUUGAUUAAUUUGUUCUUGUAGGAGAGGCGAAUGGUAUCCGAAUAAAGAAAGCAAGGGUUUGAUGGAAGGCUUACUUGGAGCAAGAUAGCGAUCAAUCGAGUUGCUGCGUUUUAUUCUCUUUUAUCUUUGUUUUUUAAGAAAAAUAAACUGCCACGCGUAGAAACAGAAAAUUAAGUUCUUGUCAUUUUCAUGCAUAUGGAUUGUUGAUGUGUGUGUCAAUCAAAUCUCCGGUGUGUCAUUUGUAAUUUUCAACCUUUAUGCAUGCAAAUGGGAGACCUCUUACGUAUAAUAAAAUUAAUAUACUUCCCAAGAUGGUCUUAUCUUGCGUUGACUUUUUACGUUCCUUUGGUGAUGAUUUUGAAUGCCAAAAGCGUGGUCAUGGAUUUUUCGUGCAACUACAGAGCACAUUAACGAGAGACUUAUCCAUGAGGGUCCAUGCAGAUCAGUGUCUAAUUAACCAAUAAUUAAUAUAACUUAAAAAAUAUAGAGUUAACAAUUUUUAUGGGUCAGGCUCAAUUAUAGAUGUUCGUACAAAAUUUCUUGCUAAUGUAUACUUGAGUAUGAUAAUAAGUUUUAAUCAUUAUUAGUAAUUCACUUGAUAAUAUUAAACAAAUUUUCAUAUCAAUUAAGUUACAAAAUUUCUGUGACAAAUUUCCACGUACUGGAACCAUGCAAAAGGGCUUUGUUCAAACAGAGCUGCAUAGCCGUUGGCAAUUAAAAUUAUUUAUCAAUAAAGUUAAGUAGUAAGAAUUGGAUUGUGGAUUCCAUUAAUUAUUUCAAGGAAAAUUUUAUAGAUAAUGCCGUAAUGAAAUUUACGGCAUCAAUAUCAUGAUAAAUAUAAAUAUUGUAAAUUACAAAUAGAAUUAGUAAAUGUAAAGUAAAACCAGUAAAUUCAUAAAAGAUUAUUAAUUAUUUAAAAAAUUAACAUUGUUUCUACAUAAUUUUAGUGAAAAAUAUUUUAUUCAUUUACAAAAAAAAAUUCUUUAAUUAAACAAAAAAAAUUCAUUAAUUAAGCAAAAAAAUUAUACUGAAAAAAAAGUGGAAUAAGUUUUUUUAUCAGUGGUGUGGACUUUGUAAACUUUUCAUCCUUAAUUAAACAUCACAUGUAUUAUAGAAAUGCAAAACUACCAUUGUUAUAUUUAAAUUAAAAAAUAAUAAAUAUAUAAGGUAAUAAACAUUAUAACGAGUUUUUAUUUUAAAAUUGUAAACUUUUAUUUCUGACAAUAACUCUUAUAUUAAUUUAUUUAUUUUGCCUUUUAUUCAUAAGUUUUAUGCAUAAUCUACAAAGUUUAUGUUUUAUUUUGCAUUUAAUGUUGAUUUUCUUUUUUUAUAUUAUACGUAUAAGUUUUCAUUUUAUUUACCAGUAAUACAUCAAUUUAUCAGUUUUAUAGUAAUUUACUUAUUUUACCUUCCUUUUAUAAUUCUUAUGUUUCAUUUCCAAAAUUUAUGUUUUAUUUUACAGUCGUUGAUGAUUUACUAGUUUUAUGUUAUGUUUGCAAGUUUUUGUUUUGUUUACUAGUAAUAGAUUAAUGGGUAAUUUUUAAUUGAGUCCUCAUUAGUUCUAGAAAAAAAAUUCAGAGACCAGAAGUUUACUAAAUGAAUCAAUUAAAUUCUUUCAAUUACAAACUAAUGUCAUUCAAAUCCUUAACUUAAUUGCUCAGUUAAAAAUAUUAACAACGUUGAGGACAUUUUAGUAAAACAACAAAUGAGUCGUUUCUCAUUCUUUAUUUUUGACAGGUGGAAAUAGUUUAAAGUAAACUCAAUUAACCUGAUUAAGUUAAGGAUCAGUUCUUUCAAAUGAAAAAAAAACCUACAGAAACUGCCAUAUUCUUCGUCUGAGAGGAGAGAUCGAGAGAACGUGGGACGGCGCAAAAAAUGUUGUAUAAAUCUACUGUGAUUUUGACCAAAGCUUUGGUAGCAUUGAUUGAGUUCAAGUACUGGAGAGAACCUGAGUUUAAAGGUUAGUAACUCUAUUUUUUUAGUGAUUUCUGCAAGCAUUUUCUGAUAAAAAUUUUUCCAUAUUGAGUGAUCGUUGUGAAAAAUUAAGUUUUUCAAGUCUAUUUUUCAAAAUGACAAACUAUGUUUAAUUAUUGGUGGAUUCUUUUUUUUGUUCAAUGUUGUAUUUUGUUAAUUUGUUGUUUUUAAUUUGCUCUUUAUGUAAUUGUUAGACCAAAUACACCAUUAUUAUACCUGUAUUCAUUUCAACAAUUUGGUAUUGUUAUAUUAAUAAGAUUGAAUUCAUUGUAUUUGCUUCUUUGUUCAUGUAAAAUUGAAUUCUAUGUAUUCUUAUGAGUGAUAAUUUUUCUAUCUAUUAGACUAAAUUCACUAUAUUCACUACUUUCUUUCUUUUUGCUGGGCUAUUUUUUCUUUUUAGUUUAUAUUUUUUAUAUGUAUUAGAUUGAAUUUGCUUUUGUGCGUUUUUUAGCCGAAUUACAUGUAUAUUUCAUUUAGGUUGAGUUUUUUUGUUGUUUGCUAAAUAAAAUUAUAUUGGUUUAUCCUUUUUUGAUGCAAUACUUUUGUUUAAAAUUAAUGCAGGUAGCCAUGUUACCUUUUUUUCGGUUAAAAUUAAUGGGGUGAUGUAUGCGAUAGGAUAUAGGGAACCAGAGGAAUAUAAGAUUAUUAGGCUGUUUCUUGAAAUUCAAGAUGUCAUGGUUAAGCAUGGACACAGUGAAAUGGAUUUGAUUGAAAUUUCUGUUGUAAUUUUUUCUCAAAAUCGGAUUUUGAAAAAAAUAUUAUUUUAAUAUCUUUUAUAGUUGUUUUAAGAUGAGGUUAUUUUACAUCUUUCUACACUUCUUCAGCAACAACCUUAAAUGGUCUCCAAAUACAAGUAAAAAGUUUGAAACUACAUAAAGUAUACAUAAUAUUCAAAAUUAGAUCUAAUUUUAUUGAUAUCUCUUUGUGUUUUUUUACUUGAUCCACAUCAAGAUAAAUAAUUGCACUUAAUUAACAUGUGUAAUAAAUAGAUAUCAUUAUAGAAAAUGGGAAAAAAAUGUAUACAAAUGUCCUAGACUAAAUAUAGAAUUUAUUGAAGAUUGAAAAUUACAAUCUUCAAUCUCAUCGGGAGUCUUUAUGGAAUCCAGCACAUUGAUUGUAACUUGCUGGUCAUUCACCCUCAUGGUUAAUUCUCCCUUUUGAACAUUAAUUAAAGUCUUUCUCGUGGCUAAGAAAGGUCUCCCUACAAUGAUUGACACUUCUUUGUCUGCCUCAAAGUCUAGCACAAUGAAAUCCACCGGAAAAAUAAAUUUAUCCACCUUCACCAACACAUCUUCAAUCUUUCCUUUUGAAUAGGCAUGAGAUCUGUCAGCAAGUUGUAGAGUCACUGUUGUUAGUCUACAUUCACCAACUCCCAAUUGCUUAAAUACUGAUAAAGGCAUGAGGUUGAUGCUAACCCCCAGAUCACAAAGUGUUUUGCCACUGUAUUUAGUGCCUAUGGAGCAUGGGAUUGUGAAGCUUCUUGGAUCCUUCAUCUUUUGUGGUAUCUUACUCUGAAGCAUUCGGCUGCACUCUUACGUUAGAGCAACUGUUUCAAACUCUCCAAGUCUUCUUUUCUUUGUCAAAAUAUCCUUUAAAAGUUUCGCAUAAUUUGGCAUUUGCUCUAGAGCUUCCACAAAAGGGAUAUUGAUAAAUAGUUGUUUCCGGCACUCCCAAGAUUUUGCUGAACUGCUUGUCUUGUUUUUUCUUCUGAAACCUUUAAGGAAAGGGUGGUGGAUGUUUAAAUUGUUGUGCUGCAGCAGGUUGUGCAGACUGCUUCUAUUUUGCUUUACUCGGGUCUGUUGUUGCAAUCUCGUUAUCCACAGGUGUUGGAUCAUCAUUUUUGGCAAAUGCUGCAGCUUGACUGCUCUCACCAGUGAGCUGUGAAGUUGAGGAUUGUGGCUCUUUUUCAAUUUGAGUUUCUUUCUGGAUUGAAGUGGACUCAACUCUUCUUUUUGAUACACCAACGGGACUAUGAACAUCCUUUCCAGAUCUCAAAUUAAUCACUUUGCAGUGCUCUUUCCCUUCUCUUCUUAGGUCCUCUGUAUUACUGGGUAAACUACCUUGAGGUCUGUUGCUCAAUGUUGUAGCAAGCUGUUCAAUUUGAUUUUCCAAGUUUCUCAAAGAUACAAUAUAACUUUGGACAACUACUUCAUUCUUCACAAUAUAAUCCUUAAUCAAACCUUCAAGGGAGCUGAGUUGAUCAUUGUUGAUGCUUCUUUGCUCUUGAUUUUGCUGAUAAAAUCCACUAGGUGCUGCAGCAGUCUGGUUCUGACAACCCCAUGAAAAGUUCGGAUGUUGUCUCCAUCCAGGGUUGUAAGUGUUUGAAUAUGGAUUGCUAUGGUUCUGUCUAUUGAAGCUGCCCACAUAAUUGACUGAAGCUGGAUUCCCAGAACAAUUGUCAAAUAAAUGUCAUUCUCCACAAUAAACACAAGACACAUUAGAAAUUUGGUUAACAGUUGCUGGAGCACUGGUCAUACCUUUCACCAUGUUUGUUAAUGAAGUUACUUGGGUUGACAAUACUGUCAAGGCAUCUACGUUAUGAACUCAUGAUGUUCCUCUUGCAGCAGCUUGUCUGGUUGACGGCCACUGAUAGUUAUUGUUGGCUAUUCUCUCCAAAAUUUCAUAAGCCUCAUUAUAAGACUUAGAUAAUAAGGCCUCAUUUGCUGAAACGUCCACCAUCAAUCUAGUACUUGGGUUGAGACCAUUAUAGAAAGUUUCCAAUUGUAUGCAACAAGGAAUACCAUGAUGAGGACAUCUCCUGAGUAACUCCUUAAAUCUCUCUCAUGCAGCACACAAGCUCUCAUCUUCAAGUUAAUGGAAAGAUGUGAUCUCGUUCCUCAACUUUGCAUUCUUGGUUGGCGGGAAGUAUUUCAUCAAAAACUUUUUAGCCAAAUCAUUACAUGUAGUGAUAGAAUCUGGUGGUAGAGAAUUCGACCAUGCUCUUGCUUGGUCUCUCAAAGAAAAAGGGAAAAGUUUGAGUCUCAAUGCUUCCUGCGAUGCUCCAGCAAUCUUGAAAGCAUCACUUACUUCCAAAAAUAACUUAAGGUAUAGAUGAGGAUCUUUGAAUGGCAAACCAUUAAAUUGCCCCACUGUUUGAAGCAUUUGAAACAUCACGGGUUUGAGUUCAAAAUUGUCAGCUUGAAUGUCGGGUCUAACUAUUCCCGGAUGUAUGGCUUGAGGAGUCAACACUACGUAAUCUCGAAUGGCUCUAUCUAUAUCGUUCGCCAUGUGAAUAAUGUUGUUGUUCCCCGGUUGCCUUUGAACACAUUGUCCAUUCAGACCUUCAUGUACAUUGACUGGUUGUAUCUCCUCUCUACAGUUCAAGUUUCUCAAAUCUUGGAAUUCAUCUAUUAUUACAGCAGCUUGUAAUUCCUGAUGCUCUCUUCUCAAUCUCCUUACAGUUCGUUCAAUUUCUGGAUCAAACUGGAAUUCAAUAGAUUUAUAUUUGCGCAUGCAACGGUUGUUAGAUCACCUAUGUCAACAAAAUAAACAAAUCAAAAUAAAAUUAAAAAUUAGCACCGUUAAAACUAAUUUCACAAAUCACAAUGAAUAAUCAAUCCCCAGCAACGGCGCCAAAAACUUGUUGGGUAAAAAUACUAAUGCUAUUGGUGUCAAUGUGCAAGUGUACACAACAAGUAAUAUAAUUAUGAGUAUUCAAGAUCGUCUCCACAGGAAUUAAUAUUAUUAGAUUUGCUACAGCAAUCCCAACAGUGCAGAUUUUGUUUUAAUGAUCAAUUUAGUUCCUUUGAAACUCUGAUUAUCAAUUAAAAUAAAAAUGCAAUAAAUAAAAUGUAACAAAGUAAAUUAUCACGUCAAACUCAAAGAUAAAACCAAUAGAAAUAUAGAGUAGUUGAGUGAAUAAACUCUCCUAAUGGUCUUGACUAUUUUCUAAUUGUUGGCUUGGUUGCUGCAGUAUCUACUACAACACUGGGCAGAAUCCUUAUGCAUCUUCAGCCGUCGCAUGUUGGAUAUCUUAUAUCUAUAUGCAACCUAACAGUGAUCAGUUAUUAUGCCAACAUAAAAUAUAGCAUUACACACUUUGGUUCUAUUUACCCUACAAGGUGAAUCCCUAUGUCUAGUUCAUCACUAAUCUUAAAUCAAGCAUGACCCUUUUGGGACUCAAGUAAAACUCAAUCCAGGAAACUCAAUUUAAGAUCAAGUAUUGCUUUGAUAUAUUCCACUCAGAUAAGCCCUUUUGUGGCUCUUCCUUAGCUAGUAUCAUUAAAUGGGUGAUCAGCCGAAAUAAUGAAUAAAAAUAAAUUCUAUCAAAACAAAAUGCUACAGCAAACAUGCAUCAACUCAUAUUUUCAGUCAAUAAACCAUCAAGAUUGUUUAUUACUCAACCACAAAUAAAUUUAGUUCAUGAUUUGCAAAAGAAAAAUAAAGAACAAAGUUUCGUCCAUGAAACACAUCCCCAUGAAUAAAUAGAAAACACGAAAAUAAGAGAAGGAUAAGAAGGAUUGAGCUCCCAAUUGAUCUCUGCAAUUUUCAUUUCUCAUCAAACAACUCUCUUUUAGAAUGGAUAUACAAAUGAUAGCUCAGUGAAGAUUUAAUCUAUGAUGAUUUACGAAAUUGAAGCUCAAUAUAUGUUGUGUGCACUUGUUUAUGCUUUCAAGAUUACCAAAAAUGAAUUGGAUUUGAGUUUAUAUAGUUUGAGCCCAAAAACUAGCCGUUAUAGACUAAUUUUUUGUGAUAACUGGCUUGCUGCUUUGUGAAUCUGGUUAGCCAUUUUUAUGUUACUGUUACAGCAAAUAUUUGAAUUUUGGAACAUCUAGCAUGCUGCUUUCGGAAUCCGGUUAGUCGCUUUCAUUCCAGUGAGCUACUGCCCAUAAUCUGACUUGCCGCUUUGUAAAAUCUUGUUAGUCGCAUUGCUACAGUGACGACUACAGUGAACUAUUUUCUAAAAUUACAAAACGUCGUAAAACUUUGCACAAAGGUCCAAUUUUAGAAUUUCUAAAUAAUGCUUGUUAUUCCCAAAACUUUCUGAAAUUAUGAUACCGUCAAAAAUGCUAUAAAACUUUUCAAAUAAGUCCCUCUCCAGAAUUCCAAGCAAUACUUGUUGAUUUCAAAGUUUUCAAAACUCUUUCAAUUAGACCACAAACUUGAAAAACAACCAAUUUUAUAAAAUCAUUUUUUCAUUAAAUAUAAAACCUUUAUAAUGUGAAAAUAAUGAUUUAUUUAAAAUGUAUAAAAAAUAAUUUGAACUUUUAAAGACUUAAUCAUUCUUAAUUUUAUUUGUUAUCAUCAAAAUCAACAUUAUGAAUACAUAAAUGUUAACAAUCUCCCGCUUUUUGAUGAUGACAUAAUUUUCAUGUAUUUAAAGAAUGAUUGCACAAAUUGCUCCUCCUAAAUGUAAGCUCCCCUUACAAUUUGAACUUAAAAGAUUAAUAAUUCUUAAUAUUGUUUGUUAUCAUCAAAAUCAACACUGUGGAAACAUAAAUGUUAACAAUCUCCCCCUUUUUUAUGAUGGCAAACCUUCAUGUAUUUAAAGAAUGAUUCCACAAAUUGCUCCCCCAAAAUGUAAGCUUCUCUUACAAUUUAGCUAAAUUAACAAAUUUAAAUACAUGUAUUCUUCUCCCCCUUCAUCAUAAAAAAGAAAACUUAAUGGAAAAGAAAAAGAGUAGCAAAUUUGUUAUCCAUGUUGUUCGAGUAGAAAUUUCGAUAGAAUCUCCCCAUAACAACAAGCAUCACCUCAAAUACAAGUUUAAUAAUAUUACUCCUAAAUUAUUAUAAAUCAUGAUACAAGCCAACUUCAUAUACAAAUCAUCACACAAUCCAUCAACCAUAAAAACAUCAUGAACCAUUAUUCCAUCAAUUACCAAAUCAACAACUCAUAACAUAAAAUUAUCAUGUAAAACAACCAUGUAAUCAAAUCAUCAUCAUAUCCCAAAAUCAUCAAAAUCAUCACCAUAAUCACAUAUCAAUCAUCAAAACAAUACUCAAAGUGCAUAUUAUUCUCCUCCUUUUGACAACAUCGAAAUGAUAUAUUACUUUGUCUCCCCCUUUGGACAACAAAAAAGUUCAAAAUGCAUAUUAUCCAAAAUCAUAUUGUAUGCUCCCCCUAAAUAUAUGGCCAAUUUAAAAUUUUAACCAAACUGAUUUUAUCCAAAAAUAUAUCAUAUUUAUCUCUCUCUUCAUCAUAAAAAAAAAAAGAUAGAUAUAUGCAAUCGAAACAAGAUCAUCAAAAAUAAUUCAAUGAAGAUAUUACCCAUUUUGUGCGAACAAAAAUUUUGGUAGUCUCCCCUUAAAAUUAAACAAAUCCUCAAACACACAACAUGGUUAAAAACACUUCCAUAUAAGCUUAAAUAAUUAUAACAAACCAACAACUCCAUCAAUUCAUUAAAGCAACACACAUAUAAUCAUCAAUCAUCAAAAUCAUCAAGAAAUCAAUUUUAAUAGUAUUAAUAACAUGAUUAGAGAUAUUAAUAAAUUUCAUCAUCCUAAGUUCAUGCCGAAUUUUUGAAAAUUGUUCUUCGCAAAAGGGUUUUGAUUUGUUUACCAAAUUGGCAUGCAAAAGUUAUAAGAACAUAUUAUCAACUAUCCAAGCUCCAUAAUUACUAAUCACGUUUUAGAAAUUAAGACAACUAAACUCAUCAAAGAUCUAAUGUGACAUUUCAAUAUAAUUUAAAAAUAUUAUAUGCUUAAAUUCUCGAAGUAUAUGUAUUUUUUCCUUUUUCGAUAUCAUUUAAAACAAGUAAUGCAUAUUCAACAAUACAUCGAUAAAGUAUAAAAAAUGCAUCCAUUCAUCAAUCAUAGAUUGCAUAAGAUCAAACUUCAUCAAAUACAAUGUAAUCAUCAAAGCACAUUCUUUAUCAUCAAAACUUAAGUAAAGCAUAAGUACAUAAUGACAAUAUAUAGAUCAUCAAAAUCAACAUAUAGCAAUAUAUAGAUCAUCAAAAUCAACAUAGCUAUUAAGAAAAGCCAUCAUGAUGAGCUAAACAACAAGUGAUCAAAUCCAUUAUUACAAAUGCUCACAUAGGCCAAUUUAAUAAAUGAUGAUAUAAUACAAUAAAUGACAUAUGAAUUUACACAUACAUAAGUGAUGAACGAAUAAGGAAGAUGAAUAAAUGACAUGAAACAUGAUGAUAGACAAUUAAAAAAAAAAAGAGAGAUCAAAGGUCAUACAAUCAUUGAAAUCAAACAAAGGCAUCAUGAUAAGUUUCAUGAUAAGUUGACAUGCUACCAUCAUAUAGAUUUAUCCAUACAUCAUGAUUACAUACAAUAAUAAUUCAAUUAUGUAAACGUAUGAGUAUGCUUUUGUAAAUUCAAGCUAUUAUCCAUCCAUCAUGAUUCAUUCAGCAAAAUCAAUAUGGCAAGAAUUGUUACCAAAAUAAUUAAAUCAUCUUGCCUCAUCUUUUUCUCUUAGAUCAUAAUCAAGUGAUUAUCCUCACAAUCUUUCAUCAAGGAACUCUCUACCAUUUCUUGAUUAUGGUACCUUGAUAACUCUAUAAAAUAAGAGUUAUCAUGACACUUUUAGACUUAAAUCAAUAAUAUUUCGAGAGUAAAUAAUGUGUUUUCAUUGUAUUUUUGUUUAAUUUUGCAUAAACAUUCACUUAGUUUAUUCGUAAUAAAUUAUGUUUGAUUUAGAAUAAUUUGUGUGCUAAAUCAUAUGCAUAAUUGUAGGUGUCCGGAAGCCCAAAUUUCAAUGAAAGAAUGCUGAUGCAAUAGGCUUGCAAAAGAUAGAAAAGAACUUGGCUACAAAAGAAUUGAAACAAAUCUGGAACAAUUCAGUUGUUGUAGUUAUUGCUGUAGCAACCUAGAACAACGACAGAGAAAAUUCUGCGUGGGAUAAUUGCAGAAUUGAGAUCUGAAGUUUCCUAAUCUGACUUAUGCAUGACCUAAGCUUCCGUUGCCCUAAUUUUCAAUUAUAAAAGAAGUACACAUCAUAAGGAAAAGAGGGAGCCGUCACCCAAGGAGAAAAAUAAAAAGAAACAAAAGAAAAACAAUCUCUUGAUUGUAAGGCCAUCUCCAAUGCAUAACGCCAUUUUUGUGUAACACCAACACCAAAAAUGUACCUUUUUCACACCAACUUACUGUUUCAUCUCCAACCCAUUUACACCAAAUUUUACACCAAAAAGAAUAUUCUUCUUUUUAUUCUUUUAAUUCUCAAGAAUUAAUUCAAUUAACACAAUAAAUAUUACUAUUAAUAUAGAUAAUUACGUAAUAAAUAAUUUUAUAUCGAUUAACAAAAGAAAUAUAGAAAAUUAUUAAUUUUGUAAUAUGUAAUCUAGUAAUUAAUGUUAUUGGCAUUUUAUUUUUAUUAUUAAUUUUUGUGUUGAAUAUUUUUUAUUUAAAAUUUUAGUAUAAUAUUCAAAAAUUAAAAAAAUGAAAUAAAAAGAAUAACAAAAAUAAUAAUAACUUAAAAUAUUAUAUAAAAUAGGGCAUAUAUGUAAAUAAGAAAAAGUAAUAAGGAUAUUUGGGACUUUUUUUCCGCAACACCAAAUGAAUAGUGUUGCACCAUAUUUGGUGCAAUACUAUUCAUAACACCAUUUUGGUGUUGGUUUUGGUGUUACAUUGGAGAAGCAUUUUACACCAAAAAUGGUGUCAAAAGUGAUUUGGUGAUAGGUUUGGUGCUACAUUGGAGAUGCCCUAAAGGUCCAUUGACACCUUGGAAGUCAAUUGUAAAGAACUUGAAGCCUUGAGAUGCUUGGAUAGUGAAAUCCUCAAGCCGGGUGAGCUUAGAGGUGUGGACGUAGGCGGGGAUUGCCGAACCACGUAAAAAUCAUUGUGUUUGUUUUCUCUUCCCUUACUCUCUUAUUAUUAUGCUGUAUUGAAUUUAUUAUUUUUUAUUCCAUUAAUACAUUAGAUUAAAUUAUUUUGUGGUUUGCUUAUCUUAAAUUUUAAAAUUCUAAUUCACCCCCCUCUUGGGUUGCCUAGUUAGUGUUUCAGAAAUAUAUGACAACUUUAAGGAAGAAAAUAGAAUAGUAUUAAUAGAAUCUAUUUUAACCAGUCUUGAAAUAAUUCAAGACAGAUGCAAAAUAUAUAACAAGACUCUAAAUCGUCCAUAAUAAGUCUAUUGAUGAAUAAUAACAAUAAUAGUGAUGUGAAAUUUUUUAUUCAGAAUGCUCAAUUUAGAUUAUAAUAUCUAUAUGAAAGCAUUGAUGGCAUGUACCUUGGUUGGGAAAAUAGAUUGGACACAUUGAUAGAUAUGUUGGAAGAAAAAAUCUAGUUUAUGUCUCAAGAGAGACAAGAAAUUAUAAAUGCCGGUGCUAUAGUAUAUUUGGAUUUGAUGAUCAUUUAGAUCUUUAUAAAAUUAUAAUAAAACUUUAAAAAUAUUUAAAAAUAUAUGUAGAAGAGAUGGAAGAAGAAAUCAUCCAGUUAUUCAAAAUCAAUUAAACAAAAAUAAAAGGUAAAAUCCUUGAAUUAUAUAAAUUAUACAAUUUCACAAAAAUUUAGCAUAUAUUGCAGAAAGGUCCUUGUGGCAUAGAUUAUGGGACUAGUGUAGCAUAAAUACUAAUAUUGUUUUUUAUUUUGUAAAUAAAUUAUUGCGUCAUAAUUUUUUUACAUACAAAUUUUAUGUUCUAAAAUAUUAAUUUGUUUUUGUAUUUAGAGUUAAUUUUAUAAUUUCAGACUUUGUUCAACUAUAUGUCCAAGUCCUUCACGUGUUGGUUGAUGUUGAAUAUUCAAAGAUCCACAAGCUAUCAACAACAACAAAUCAAAUUAAACUAAUUAGCUAACACAUAAUGAUUGGGUUGUUUCCUAUGCUUGUUAAUGAUGUAGAACAUUAUUUUAGAAUUUUAGAAUUUUAAUUCUUUAGGUCUUUUGAUAUUUUUUUUAAUUAAAGUCAGUGUCUUAGACUUUUAUUUCUAUUAUAAUUAUCAUUUACUUUCCCUUUUAAGUUAACUUAGGAAAGUAGAUUUACUCUAUUAUAAAUAAAGAGAUCUUGUUAUCACUUUUAUAACUUCAACUUCAAUUAUUCAAUUAAAAACCCCUCUUUUAUAAUUUCCUUUGGUAUUAUCUAUUAAAAAUUCCUCUUUGAGAGUUGUUUGAUUAUAGCAUCAUCUAGCCUUGCUUAACGCAGUUUUAAAAAUCUCAUUGAGUUUAAUUACAUUUCGAUUAGAGCGUAACUUAAUCGUAUUGACUUGGUCCAGUACUUGAACCAUAUCUAGUGUUUUGCUUCCGCUACGCCCAAGGAGAAAAUUAAUUUCACCGUGAGAUAAGAGCAUUGAAAGGAAUUCAUGAGAAAUUUAAAUUAAGCUUUGUUAAAUAUAUCGCUAGCUACUUGUUUUUGGAGGAACUAAAACAAUUAAUUAGCUACGAAGUGAAAAUAAAUAAAUAAAUGAAAUCAAGUUGAAAAUAAAAUAAGUUUCGCCGCCUGGAUCCAAGGCCAAAACAUUCAUGAUAAGUUAGGUAAUUAAGUACAUGUUUUCAAGCUCUUCAUGAAGCAUAAUGUUAUUGAAAUAAAUCACAAAGACUCCCUGCGCACAUUAUUACAUUGAUUAAAAAACAAAUGCCAUAUGUUUAACAGGAUCGUGACUCUGGGACUGUUAAUUACUUUAUUCCCUGCUUGGCCAACAGCUGGCCACUAAACAAAUCAUAAAAAUUUUAAAUUUAGUCAAAUUGGUCCGACUUGAUGACAUCCUUUUCAUACAUAAAAUUGUUUAACGUCAAGGUUAAAUAUGAGAAGUUUGGUAGAGAAGGUAAAAGGGAAGUGUAUAUAAGGAGGGGAACGAGCUUUGUUUAUAGCACAAGUGAAACUCCACUCUAUUGAACGAUGGGGUCUCAAAUGGGCUGCCUCUUUGCCACUCUUUUGGUAAUAUCAGUCUGUCUUAGCUACUUGCCGUUAGAAGCCUCCGCAAACAAAUACUACUACACAUCUCCUCCCCCUCCCAAGUAAAAGUCUCCACCACCCCCGCCACCGGUUCACAAUUCUCCACCACCACCCCCGAUUUACAUGCCCCCGCCACCUCCUCCACCAGUCUACCUGCCUGCUCCGGCACCAACACCAAUUUCCUAUUCCCGGCCACCUCCUGUCCCCAAGUCCCCACCACCACCUCACCCUUACGUCUAUGCAUCUCCCCCUCCUCCUUACUACUACUAGAAAGCGGCCAUGAAUAGCUCAUGCUUUUAUGGUAAUCUCAUUUAUUUUUAGGCACCGUGUUCUGUUUAAUUGCGUUCCUACUGAUUAAGUGACAAAUAAAAGAGAUUGAUUAAUUUGUUCUUGUAGGAGAGGCGAAUGGUAUCCGAAUAAAGAAAGCAAGGGUUUGAUGGAAAGCUUACUUGGAGCAAGUUAGCGAUCAAUCGAGUUGCUGCGUUUUAUUCUUUUUUUAUCUUUGUUUUUUAAGAAAAAUAAACUGCCACACGUAGAAAUGGAAAAGUUAUUGUCAUUUUCAUGCAUAUGGUGUUGGGAAAAUAUGCUCUUUAAAAGCAUAUGUUUUUAUUUAAUUGUAAUAAAUAAUUUUUCUAAUUAAUAAAAUAAAUGAGGUAUUUUAUUUAAAUAUUUUAAUUACAUUAAUAUUUUUAUUAAAGUCCAUUUAAUCAUAUUAUAUGUAUUUAUGUGAUCACCAUGUGGAUUCACAUAAGACAUAAAUAUAAGUUAUCUUAUGAUUAAAUAAAUUUAGUUCGCAAUUGAUCAAUAAAGUUGGGCACUUUAUUUAGGUAUAGACUGUAAUAAAUUCAUUGAAUGAUUUGUCUUAAUCAUGUAUGAAUUUAUUGAUGUAGUACGACUACAUUGAACAAGAUCACAUAUGAGAUUUAAUUAACUUUGUAAUAACUGUCAGACUUAUUAAAUCUCAUAGGCAUUGAUUUUACUGUAAUCUUAAUCUUGAGUUAAUUAUGAUUUCAUGAUUGUAAUUGUUAUUCCAUUUGAGUUACCAAUGGGCACGACACAUACUUGUGGUCAAGAUUACCCGGUAUCUUGGUGGGAGCAAUUAUGGGUAUUGGAGUUAUGGAUUAACAAUAUAGAAUUUGUACAACACAUCUCUUGAUGGGUUUUCGGCACCUGAUCAUAGAAUUCUCUGGCCAGAGUGUGUCAACAUAUUUAGUAUGUUGAAAAUGAUCAUUAGAGAAAACUAAUAAGUAUCAAGGAACAAGAUGUAAUUAAAUUGAUUGGACAGUUGAGAUAUCGAUUUAAUUAAUGAUGUGGUACAAAAGAUUGUGCAGUAAAAAAAUCAAUGUGGCUUGGGACGAGUUAUUAUUCGAGCAUACAAUUAUGGAAGUCAGUUCCAAUCUUUUAGUGGAGUAGAUUUGGAAUUAAAUAAUUGGGCUAGUUUAAUUACAGGCCUAAUUAUUGUAGCCACUAUUGUAUGUUCCCAAAUGAUCCCCGGGUUAGCUCAUUUAAUUGAGUGCACCACUACUGGAUUAAUAAGCAAGAUAACUAGCUAUUUGGGACAAAAGCCUAAAUAUAUCAUUUAGUGGGAGCCUCCAUUUAAUUAGCUUGUGUGUAAGGGGCCUAAUGUUAUUUUACAAGGUGGGUCCCCUAUAGAAAAAGCAAGUAACGUGAUUUUUGUUUUUGAUUAUUUGGAGCCUAGGAUUUUCACUAAAGCGAGAUAUAAAAAGCUUAUUUUCUCUAAAGAAAAGAGAUAGCAGCCACUUUAUACAGAUCAGAGAAAAAUAUUUUUCUCUCUAUUGUUGAGAGAAAAAUUUUCUCGUGCUAGUUGCUUUGGUAGUGAUAAAGGCGCCCACACGUCAAGUGCAGAUCAAACCUGAGUCAUAACCUGGAAGAUCAUUGGUGACAGUUCGUGAUCUAACAAGCGUGGUGGUGACGGAUCGUGAUCUAACAGACGUAGUGGUGACGGAUCGUGAUCUAGAAGCCUAAAUCACUUCAGCGGAAAAAUUUAAAUCGGAUUUUCAAGGUACGAUUUCUAGAUUACAUAUUCUUAUAUAUUAUAUGAGAACGAUCUUAAAAAGGUUUUAUAAAAAAUUUAAAAAACUGAUAUUUCCCCAACAAUUGGUAUCAGAGCCAUCUCGUAUUAAUAUAUGAAUAAAGCGUGUUUAUGAUUUGUAUUAAUUCAUGGUUAGAGGGGUGGUUUUUUAUCAGCAUGUUUUUCUCUUGAUUUAGUUUACUGUUAUAAAAAUUUUGAAAGCCAAAAUUGGCGUAGAAAAUUUGUAAAUCACUGAAGAAUAAACACUGGAAAACGAACUCAAAGAAUCGAGGCUGGAUUUUUCAGCGGCGGCCACCAACCAGCAACACAGCAGCGCACAGCAGCCAGCGCGCGCGGGAAGCGUGCCUUGUGCCUGCAACGAGUGCUGGCACAGGCUGCUCAUGCAGCAAACAGCGCGCGUGGCCAGCGUGGCCAGCAGCGCGCGCGAGUUUGGUGCAUUUUUGGCGACGCGACGAUCGAUGGUUCGGUGUUAGAGAUGCGUCGGAGGUCGGCUGGCGUCUGAACAGUGGCAGAGGUUUUUGGAGAUGGUGGCUGGGGAAGAAGGGUAAGAAAAAUAUGGAUUUUAGGGUUUUAUGGUUUUUAUCAUUGAGGUCCCUAGAGUUCCAUAAUUAUUUCCUUUGAGCAGUCAAGUUUUAAUUUUUUGCAUUUAAGUCUAAAAACAGUUUUGGGCUUAAAGAAUCCUAGUUUUAGGCUCAAUUGAAAUUUGGGUUUAAUGGAUUAAAAUGCAUAGAUAAAAUUGAACACAUUAAAUCUAUUUUUGGUCCAAAAGUUUUAUUUUAAUAAAAAAAAUUUAAUUAUUUCCUUUCAAAAUUAAAAUUGGACCAAUUAUAAAUUUAAAAGCCUAAUUUCCUCUAGUCCAUUAACAAAGACAAGCUUAUGGAAGAUGAACAUUUACAAGAAGCCCAAUGAAGAUUAGGCUUAUGGUUAAUGUAUUUUUCAUUAUUAGGAAAGCCAUGAAUUAAGAUUAUUUAAUUAUUUUUCUAUAUGUUAUGUUUUGGAUAUUAACAUGUCAUGUAGAAUAGGUAGUGCCACUAUGCAUAAUGAUACAUGUCAUUCUUUAAUAAUAAAUCUCAUUAUAUUGUUUGUGAUUUGUCUAUGCUUAAUAAUAUUGGAUAUCAUCUAGAUAAUAUUAUAGGAAGCAUGCAAUUAACAAUAUGUAUGUUUUAAAAAGGAAAAAUCAAUUUUAAAAUAUUGAGUGGGAGAGGGAAAAUUCAAGAUAAUUUUUCCCACGGGCUUCAUUUUACUUCAAUAAUAAAAUUAUAUAUAUACCUCGACUUCAUGAUACGGUGAUGCUCCCUACAGAGGGUAUAUAUAUUAGAUAUUUUAUUUGUUGAAUUUCUUCAAAGAUAAAAUUAAAAUAUUUUUCAAUCGAUUGUUCGCCCUCACGGUGACUAUUGAUAUGAAAAAUACGUAGAUUGAAACAAUGGUUAUACACUCAACUGAAAUUUGUUAUUAACCUUCCCAACGAAGCUCUGUUAACAAAUUUAGGCCCAAAGGGAUAACGAUAAUUAUUUAUCAUGUCUCGACAUGAAAGUAAAUAAUUCAUUGGAUAAUUGGGUCUAGUAAGUGUAGACAUGACUUCCCCAACGGAUAGCUUGUCAAAGCGGUACUAGAUUAUCGUUACAAUAAAUUAAAAUACAUUUAUGAGUUUUUUUUUGCAUUUUUGUCAUUUAUUGUGAAUAUUGUUUCAAAGUAUUUAUGCAUGUUUAUUUUGUUUUUCCAGAAAAUGUCUUCCAUCAACCCAUUAUUAAUUAUCCUUGUUAAAAAUGAACUCACUGGCGAAAAUUAUUUAGAUUGGAAACGCAAUCUAUUUAAUAUUCUCACUGCUAAGGGCUGCAAAUAUGUGUUGACCUAGCCUUGUCCUCCUGAACCAUCAUUAUACGAUUAUAGAAAUCAGAGGGAGCCUUAUGAGAAAUCGUGUGAAGCUAACAAAAUGGCUAAGCACUAUAUAUUGGAUUCGAUUUCUGUGGAACUACAUAAGAAACAUCGGAGCAUGGAAACAACCACUGAAAUAAUGGCUAGUCUUCAUCAGAUGUUUGGGCAAAGUACUCAUUUUGCUAGAGAAGCAGCAUUAAAACGUAUUACAGAUACUAAGAUGGAAGAGAGCACAAAAGUUCGUGAUCAUGUCCUCAAAAUGAUGGACUAUUUGAAUGAGGUAGAGAUUCAUGGUGCUCAAAACAAUGAUAAAUCAAAAAUUAAUAUGGUGAUUGAAUCUUUACCUAAUACAUUCAAAGAGUUUAAGGUCAGUUAUAUCUUAAACAAUAAAGAUAUGAACUUAAUUGAAUUAAUGCACGAACUACAUGCUAUAGAAGAAUUUUAUCAUAGCAGAAAACUUCCUGAAAAAGGAUUCUCUUCAAGGCUUAAGUCGAAAGACAAGAAUGAGCAAGCAAGAGUUAGGAUCAGCAAACUAUCCACUAAAAGAAGUGGCAAAAGGCAAGUGUUACAAAUGUGGACAGAAGGGUCACUCGAAGAAAGAUUGUCCUAAGAUUAUUAAAAUCAGGAAACCAAGAGAUUAAGUGAAGAAAGCUUCAAACAACAGUUGAGGACAUGCUAGUUUAUAUCAAUUGAAAGGCUAGAUCAAUUUUACAAGACUUAAAAGUUUUGAUAUUUGUCUUUAUUUUUCCAAAUACUAGAGGAAUUUAAUUUCGGUGACUUGUUUUAAUAAACAGGAGUACACUGUUAUUUUUUGAUCCACUGUCAUUUAUUUAUUUUAGUUAUUUAUAAAGACAAUUAAUAUCAUAUAAAUCCAUUGAUCUAUUCAAAGCAAGAUAUAAUGAUAAAGAGUAUAUGCAUUUAUCUAAGAAAAGAAAUGUUUCUUCAAACCAAAAUCACCUCUGAUAUUUAGGCUUAAGUCAUAUAAACUAUAAUAAGAUUUUAAGAAAAUGAUUAAUGAUAGACUUGUUGGCCUAUUAAGAUUGAUCAUUGUAGCUCUAUAAAUCUUAUUUAGAAAAGUAAUAUGACGAGAAUGCUCAUUUAGAGCUAAAAGCAUAACAUUGUAUUUAAUGAUUUAGCGCAUACAAAUAUAUAUGGACUAAUCAGUUUACAUGUUAUAAGAGGUUAUGAGUAUUCUAUCAAUCUUGUUGAUGAAUAUUCAUUUUACUUAUGUUUGUCUAAAUGCGUCAUGAUUCCAUUGCUUUUGAAAUUCAAAAGAGUACAUGGAUAAGACAAAAGCAAUUAGACAGGAACAUAAAAGAACUUCGAUAUGAUCGAAACAAAGAAUAUCUCUAUGGAGAAUUCAAGCACUAUUUGGUUGUCAAUGAACACUAGAGAAACAAGAUUCUUUUGGAUAAAACAAGAUAUAUACUAAGUGGUUUAUCAUUUACCUUUUUUAUUCCAGAUACUAAUAUUUAAAACUACAAAGUUUAUUGAACUUAGUUUCAUCUAUCUCGGUAUCUACUACUCCAAGAAAUUAUGAAAAAGUCACAAACUUGGUUUGAGACACAUUCGUAUUUGGAGUUUACUAGUAUUUCUACUAGAAUCAGAGGUAGAAAAGAUGGAUUUGUGUUCAGAAGCUUGCAUGUUUAAGGUAUCGUAAUGGAAUAAGGGAAAGUCUGAAUUAUAGUCCUCAAGAUAGGAAUGUAUUUGUGGACAUAUUAUUUACUUUCUUUGAGGAAGACUAUAUUAUGACUUCUUACCUAAGAGUAAGGUAAAACUAGAGAAAUAAAAAAGGUGAUCAAGUUGAUACUCAGCUUUCAAUGCCUGUUACAAAACAGGAAGAACAGCGACAACCAGAUGAUCAACACAGGAUUAUCCCUGAACAACCAUCACUUUUAGAACCUCGUCGUAGUGGGAGGAUAACUAAGUUACCUGCGAGAUAUAUGCUUUUGGGAGAAACCUAUACGGCUAUCUCAGAUGAACAUGUACAAGAUCUCACUAAUUACAACAAAGCUCUAAUAGAUAUAGAUGUUGAAUUUUGGAAAAAGACCAUCAAUCAAGAAAUGGAAUCUAUGUAUUCCUAUAAAGUCUGGGAACUUGUAGAGGCACCAAAUGGGAUAAAACCUAUAGGGUGCAAGUGGAUCUACAAGAGAAAAAGAGGAGUAAACGGAAGGGUGGAAACAUUUAAAGCAAGAUUAGUAACCAAAGGGUUUUACUUAGAAAGAGAAAUCGAUUAUGAGGAAACCUUUUCUCCGGUUUCUAUGCUUAAAUCCAUCAGGAUUCUGCUCUCCAUUGCUGUAGUGCUAGAUUAUGAAAUUUGGCAAAUGGAUGUCAAGACUGCCUUUCUUAACGGGCAUCUUAAAGAAAACAUCUACAUGCAGCAACUAGAUGGAUUUAUACAAAAAAGACCAAGAACACAUGGUUUAUAAGUUGCAGAGAUCCAUUUUUGGAUUGAAGCAAGCAUCCCGGUUAUGGAACAUCAGAUUUGAUCAACCGAUUAAAUCGUUUGGAUUCAUUCAGAACAUUGAUGAACCAUGUGUGUACAAGACAAUUCAAGAAAAAUCUGUAGCCUUCCUAAUUCUUUAUGUAGACGAUAUUCUCCUAAUUGGAAACGAUAUAGGAGUAUUGACUACAAUAAAAUUACUACGAGACCAGAAUAAUAAAACUUUAGCCUUGUCUCAAGCAGUCUAUAUCGAUAAGAUAUUGGCUAGAUUUAGCAUGGAAAAUUCCAAGACUGGUUUAUUACCAUUCAGACAUGGAAUUACAUUCUCUAAGGGUCAAUCUCCUAAAACAUCUGAAGAGAUAGAGAGAAUGAGAUGAGUUCCCUAUGCAGAAGCUGUGGGAAGUCUCAUGUAUGUCAUGCUUUACACUAGGCCAGACAUCUGCUUUGCGGUAGAGAUGGUUAAUAGAUAUCAAUCUAAUCCUGGACCUAAACACUGGACUGCGGUCAAGCAUAUAAUGAAGUAUCUGAAAAGAACUAAAAAUUAUAUGCUUGUGUAUUCUGGUGAUGAACUCAUUCUAGUGGGUUAUACUAAUUCUGACUUUAUGUCAAAUAAGGAUUCCAGAAAAUUAACUUCCGGCUAUGUGUUUACAUUGGGAAGUGGAGCUAUUAGUUGGAGGAGUGUGAAACAAUCUUGUAUCGCAGACUCCACAACUGAAUCUAAAUAUGUGGUUGUAUCCGAAGCUGCAAAAAAAGUUGUAUGGCUACGCAAGUUCCUACAAGAUCUUGAGGUGGUACUUGCUGUAACUGCACCCCUUAAACUAUUUUGCGAUAAUAGUGGUGCGGUAGCUCAAUCUAAGGAACCACAAGAAACAAAAACAUAUUGAGAGGAAGUAUCAUCUUAUAAGGGAAUAGUGUAGAAAUGUUAUAUGACAGUACCCCAGAUGGGAUUAGAUGCUAAAUGGCAGAUCUUAUUACAAUGGCCAUUAGUGGAAAACCUUUAUAACCUGCACUUAGAGCCCUAGAGCAUGUGCAAUAUGCCAAAUAUGCUUUAAGAGCUAUUCGGAGAUUGUUGGGAAAAUAUGCUCUUUAAAAGCAUAUGUGUUUAUUUAAUUGUAAUAAAUAAUUUUUCUGAUUAAUAAAAUAAAUGCGGUAUUUUAUUCAAAUAUCUUAAUUGCAUUAAUAUUUUUAUUAAAGUCCAUUUAAUCAUAUUAUAUGUAUUUAUGUAAUCACCAUGUGGAUUCACAUAAGACAUAAAUACAAGUUAUCUUAUGAUUAAAUAAAUUUAGUUCGCAAUUGAUAAAUAAAGUUGGGCACUUUAUUUAGGUAUAGACUGUAAUAAAUUAAUUGAAUAAUUUGUCUUAAUCAUGUAUGAAUUUAUUAAUGUAGUACGACUACAUUGAACAAGAUCACAUUUGAGAUUUAAUUAACUUUGUAAUAACUGUCAGACUUAUUAAAUCUCAUAGGCAUUGAUUUUACUGUAAUCUUAAUCUUGAGUUAAUUAUGAUUUCAUUAUUGUAAUUGUUAUUCCAUUUGAGUUACCAAUGGGCACGACACAUACUUGUUGUCAAGAUUACUCGGUAUCUUGGUGGGAGCAAUUAUAAGUAUUGGAGUUAUGGAUUAACAAUAUAGAAUUUGUACAACACAUCUCUUGAUGGGUUUUCGGCACUUGAUCAUAGAAUUCUCUGGCCAGAGUGUGUCAACAUAUUUAGUAUGUUAAAAAUGAUCAUUAGAGAAAACCAAUAAGUAUCAAGGAACAAGAUGUAAUUAAAUUGAUUGGACUGUUGAGAUAUCGAUUUAAUUAAUGAUGUGGUACAAAAGAUUGUGCAGUAAAAAAAUCAAUGUGGCUUGGGACGAAUUAUUAUUCGAGCAUACAAUUAUGGAAGUCAGUUCCAAUCUUUUAGUGGAGUAGAUUUGGAAUUAAAUAAUUGGGCUAGUUUAAUUAUAGGCCUAAUUAUUGUAGCCACUAUUGUAUGUUCCCAAAUGAUCCUCAGGUUAGCUCAUUUAAUUGAGUGCACCACUACUGGAUUAAUAAGCAAGAUAACUAGCUAUUUGGGUCAAAAGUCCAAAUAUAUCAUUUAGUGGGCGGCUCCAUUUAAUUAGCUUGUGUGUAAGGGGCCUAAUAUUAUUUUACAAGGUGGGUCCCCUAUAGAAAAAGCAAGUAACGUGAGUUUUGUUUUUGAUUAUUUGGAGCCUAGGAUUUUCACUAAAGCGAGAUAUAAAAAGCUUAUUUUCUCUAAAGAAAAGAGAUAGCAGCCACUUUAUACAGAUCAGAGAAAAAGAUUUUUCUCUCUAUUGUUGAGAGAAAAAUUUUCUCGUGCUAGUUGCUUUGGUAGUGAUAAAGGCGCCCACACGUCAAGUGCAGAUCAAACCUGAGUCAUAACCUGGAAGAUCAUUGGUGACAGUUCGUGAUCUAACAAGCGUGGUGGUGACGGAUCGUGAUCUAACAGACGUGGUGGUGACGGAUCGUGAUCUAGGAGCCUAAAUCACUUCAGCGGAAAAAUCUAAAUCGGAUUUUUAAGGUACGAUUUUUAGAUUACGUAUUCUUAUAUAUUAUAUGAGAGCGAUCUUAAAAAGGUUUUAUAAAAAAUUUAAAAAAUCGAUCUUUCCCCAACAUAUGGAACCAUGCUAAAGGGCUUUAUUCAAACAAAGUCGCAUGGCCGUUGGCAAUUAAAAUACUUUAUCAAUUAAGUUAAGUAGUAAGAAUUGGAUUGUGGAUUCUAUUAAUUAUUUCAAGGAAAAUUUUAUAGAUAAUGGUGUAAUGAAAUUUACGUCAUCAAUACCAUGAUAAAUAUAAAUAUUGUAAAUUACAAAUAGAAUUAGUAAAUGUAAAGUAAAACCAGUAAAUUUAUAAAAGAUUAUUAAUUAUUUAAAAAAUUAACAUUGUUUCUAGAUAAUUUUAGUGAAAAAUAUUUUAUUCAUUUAAAAAAAUUCUUUAAUUAAACAAAAAAAAUCAUUAAUUAAAUAAAAAAAAUUAUACUGAAACACAAAAGUGGAAUAAAUUUAAUUGAAUUGGUUACCAUAAAUUCUAUAUUUAGUCUAGGACAUUUGUAUACAUUUUUUUCCCAUUUUCUAUAAUGAUAUCGAUUUAUUACACAUGUUAAUUAAGUGCAAUUAUUUAUCUUGAUGUGGAUCAAGUAAAUAAAAAAAAGAGAUAUCAAUAAAAUUAGAUCUAAUUUUGAAUAUUAUGUAUACUUUAUGUAGUUUCAAACUUUUUACUUGUAUUUGGAGACCAUUUAAGGUUGUUGUUGAAGAAGUGUAGAAAGAUGUAAAAUAACCUCAUCUUACAACAACUAAGAAAGAUAUUAAAAUAUUAUUUUUUUCAAAAUCCGAUUUUGAGCAAAAAUUUCAUCCUUAAUUAAACAUCACAUGUAUUAUAGAAAUGCAAAACUACCAUUAUUAUAUUUAAAUUAAAAAAUAAUAAAUAUAUAAGGUAAUAAACAUUAUAACGAGUUUUUAUUUUAAAAUUGUAAACUUUUGUUUCUGACAAUAACUCUUAUAUUAAUUUAUUUAUUUUACCUUUUAUUCAUAAGUUUUAUGCAUAAUCUACAAACUUUAUGUUUUAUUUUGCAUUUAAUGUUGAUUUACUUUUUUUAUAUUAUACUUAUAAGUUUUCAUUUUAUUUACCAAUAAUACAUUAAUUUAUCAGUUUUAUAGUAAUUUACUUAUUUUACCUUCCUUUUACAAUUCUUAUGUUUCAUUUCCAAAGUUUAUGUUUUAUUUUACAGUUGUUGAUGAUUUACUAGUUUUAUGUUAUGUUUGGUAAUAGAUUAAUGGGUAAUUUUUAAUUGAGUCCUCAUUAGAUCUAGAAAAAAAAAUUCAGAGACCAGAAGUUUACUAAAUGAAUCCAUUAAAGUCUUUUAAAUACAAACUAAUGUCAUUCAAGUCCUUAACUUAAUUGCUCUGUUAAAAAUACUAACAACGUUGAGGACAUUUUAGUAAAACAACAAUUGAGUUGUUUCUCAUUCUUGAUUUUUGACAGGUAGAAAUAGUUUAAAGUAAACUCCAUUAACUUGAUUAAGUUAAGGAUCAGUUCUUUGAAAUGAAAAAAAAAAACCUACAGAAACUGCCAUAUUCUUCGUGUGAGAGGAGAGAUCGAGAGAAUGUGGGAUGGUGCAAAAAAUGUUGUAUAAAUCUACUGUGAUUUUGACCAAGGCUUUGGUAGCAUUGAUUGAGUUCAAGUACUGGAGAGAACCUGAGUUUAAAGGUUAGUAACUCUAUUUUUUUAGUGAUUUUUGCAAACAUUUUCUGAUAAAAGUUUUUCCAUAUUGAGUGAUCGUUGUGAAAAAUUAGGUUUUUCAAGUCUAUUUUUCAAAAUGACAAACUAUGUUUAAUUAUUGGUGGAUUCUUUUUUUGUUCAAUGUUGUAUUUUCUUAAUUUGUUGUUUUUAAUUUGCUCUUUAUGUAAUUGUUAGACGAAAUACACUAUAUUGGUAUCGUUAUAUUAAUAAGAUUGAAUUCAUUGUAUUUGCUUCUUUGUUCAUGUAAAAUUGAAUUCUAUUUGUUCUUAUGAGUGAUAAUUUUUCUAUCUAUUAGACUAAAUUCACUAUAUUCACUACUUUCUUUCUUUUUGCUGGGCUAUUUUUUCUUUUUAGUUUAUAUUUUUUAUAUGUAUUAGAUUGAAUUUGUUUUUGUACUUUUUUUAGCCGAAUUACAUGUAUAUUUCAUUUAGGUUGAGUUUUUUUGUUGUUUGCUAAAUAAAAUUAUAUUGGUUUAUCCUUUUUUGAUGCAAUACUUUUUGUUUUAAAUUGAUGCAGGUAGCCAUGUUACCUUUUGUUUCGAUUAAAAUUAAUGGGGUGAUGUAUGCGAUAGAAUAUAGGGAACCAGAGGAAUAUAAGAUUAUUAGGUUGUUUUUUGAAAUUCAAGAUGUCAUGGUUAAGCAUGGACAUAGUGAAAUGGAUUUGAUUGAAAUUUAUGUUGUAUUGCCAUGGACUACAAGUAGGCAGAGGAAGCUAAGUUCAAAUAAUAGUGAAUUGUAUUGGUGUUCGAGUUUUUUUUAUCAAUAGUUGUCCUGUCAUUGAGUUUGAGGUGCACACUGGGUCAGGUGGUCAGUCAUUUCAUGAAAGUGUUGUAAUAGGAUCUGAAAAUCCUGUCAAUAUAGGUGUUAGUGUUGUAAUAGUGAUAAGUUUGAAAAUCCUGUGGCUAAAAAGGGUCUGCCUAGAAUAAUUGGUACUUCUUUAUUUGCCUCAAAGUCCAACACUAUAAAAUCCACUACGAAAAAGAAUUUAUCCACUUUAACCAGCACAUCUUCAAUCCUGCCUUCAGGAUAAGCAUGAGAUAUGUCAGCACAUUGCAAUGUCACUGUGGUUGGUCUGACUUCUCCAACUCCGAAUUGCUUGAAUUCUGAUAAUGGCAUAAGAUUGAUGCUUGCUCCCAAAUCACAAGGUGUCUUGGGGUAAUUUUUAGGGACCUCCCCUGAGGUUUGGUGUAUUAAUACUUAAAUAGAAUGUAUCCAUGUGCCAUUAGUUACUAAUUAGGUUGACCGUUAGUAGACAUUCAAAAUUAGUGAAAUAUCCUUCUUACUGAAAUAAUAAAUUAUUAAAUAUAGUUUUGAGAAAUCCAUUGGCAGUGAGGAUUCCGUUGAAAAUCCAUUUCAACAAAAUGGAUGUUGGUGGUGUGAAAAAGUGUGCUACCUGGUUUGGGGUUGUUUGAUGGAAUGGACAACAAUGAUAUGGAACCAUCACUGUCCUCUGGUUGUUGCUUCGCUGGCCUCCUCGAAAGUGAGCAAAAAUGGUUCAAAGUCUCACACACCACAAGCGCCAUAGCUAUGCCACCAAGUCCAACCAGCACCGCGUCGUCAAAACCCUUGGGGGGAAGCUGCUUUACUAGAGAACCAAGAAGAGAGCAAGUGAGCCUAAGUGUCCUGUCACUGGAAAAAGGAUCCAAGGAAUUCCUCACUUGAAAUAAAUUAUUAAUUUUCUUAUGAAAUUUUGACUUGUAUGAAUUAUUUAUAAUGGCAUUUUGUGCCGUUCUAUUUAAAUGUGAAUGGGUAUUCGGUUUUUUCUUCGAAGUUUCUUUACCCAAAAAAAAAAAAUUGUAACCAUCACCGUCGGCAGAAAUUGUGGCAGUGGCAUGUGGCAUGACAAGCCGCCUGCGAGGGUUUUGUGAUUUGUGUGCAAUUGGGUUUUGGGAUGUCAGAGGUUGCGACGUGGUAUUGUUGAGUGUUAGAAAAUGCAUAUUUAUAAAGGAGAAAACCAUUAUUUUACAUUUUAAGUCUUACUAACAACCCUUACUUUUAUGUUUUUAACAUUCUUGUGAUUUAAUUACGUGUGUUUUAUUUUAAUUAAGUAAUUUAUGUAUUUUAAGGGCAUUAUAGUCAUUUCACAAUAAAGGAGAGAUCAGACGGCAAAACGGACAUCACUUUUGUACUCAGGACGGUCAAAAACCUUAAGAGGAGCAUAAAAAGAAAAAUGGCACUAUUCACAUGUACGGUACUGUAUACGUUACUGUUCACGACACUGUUCACAUAGACGGAUGAUGAUGUGGCAUUGACCGAUGAUGUGGCAUUGACUGAUGAGGUGUCACGAUCCUGUUGGACUAAAAUUCUUAUGUACUGUUGAUGGUGACGUGGCAGCAUAUCAGUGGACGAAAAAUCUCGCGUACGGUGCAUGCAUCACACAGGAUUAUUUUCAACCAAACUGCGUUACUGUUCAUCCGGGUCAAACCGCGUUACUGUUCAAAGUCAGGUCAAACCGUGUUACUGUUCAUCCGUGUGGUCAAACCGUGGACUGUUGACUGAUGACGUGGCGCAAUCCUGAGCGUCCAAACUGUUUUUAAUCCGAUGGCCAUGAUUUACUCCAUGUAUCUAUAAAAAGGGGGCCUCUCCCCCCUAAUUUGAUAUCUCUGAAUCCAUUUUUGGGAUCCAUUUUCUGUAAUUCCCUCUCCAUCUUGUAUUUUUUUCGUAUUUUAAUAAAUUCUCAUUUUGCCCUUAGUUCAAUUAUGAGUGGCUAAUUUUCUUUCAAGCUUGGGUUGAAGGUGAAGUCUCAACAUGUGUCAUGGGCUUUAUUUGGUAAAUUUAUUUUCUCUUCCCCUCUAGUUUUUGUGGAUGUUUUGACUUCUCGUCGACAAAUAAUACUAAUCUUGUCUAGUACCGCAUUGGUUUCACCGGCCCUCUAGUACAAGGUUAUUAUUAUUUGGCACGAUAAGCCCUUAGCACUAUAUUGAUUAGAGCGUGGUUCAUGAGGUGUGGAUUCCCCCCUCAUGAUUUAAUUGGCAUUAAUAAGGAUUAUUUAGCCCAUGAUGGAUGUUGAUACGGAUCUAGAUACCCAAGUACGUCAUUUUAAUAGAAUUCUCUUCAAUUUAUUCUCGUCAUUUCAAUUCCAAUUUUAGAAUUUAUUCUCGCCAUUUUAAUUUAAGUUUUAGCAUAUCCCAAAUCAUUUCCACCACAAAUCCAAUCACCCAUUUACAAAAUUAAUUCUACACAAUUAAAAUCCACCUCCUCGUGGGAUCGACACUCGUCACCAUUAGUUUAUACUACAAUAGAUUCGUGCGCUUGCGAGUACAUUAAAAUUUGCACAACAGGUUUUUGGCGCCGUUGCCGGGGAGGUAAGUAAUUUUAAUUCAUAGAAUUAAUGUUUGUGAAUAAUUUCUUUUAUUUUUUUUAUUGUAUUUUUUUUAUUAUUAAAAAAAAGUGAAUCCGCAUUUAGAGGUUAGUAAUUUCUUUUCUUUUUCUCUUCUUUAAAUUUCUGUAAUUUAAUUUUCAAGUUAUUUUUUUUUCUUUGUAAUUUUUGUUUAUCUUACUAAUUCUUUUUAGUUAAUUUAUUUCCCCUAUUUGUUUUUGUGUAUUUUUAUACAAGUUUGUAUAGCGCAAUAAGGUUAGUAUCGUAAUUUCUCCCUUUUCUUUAUUUUUAUUUGUUUUGUUCCCAUCUUUAUUUUUAUUUUAUUUAUUUUGCAUGUAUGGUCGUAGGUCAUUAUUACCUAAUCUUGAACCUAUAGACCUUGAACUUGAGAAAACACUUCGCACACACAAACAAGUAAAAAAUAAAAUGGUUUUGCAACCACAGGAGAGACCAUUUAAAGAUUAUUUCAGUCCUUUAGCAAAUUUGAGCACAUCAUGUAUAAGAUACCCAAAUGUAGUUGCUAGGAGCUUUGAAUUAAAACCUAGUGUGCUAAAUUGUCUCCCCACAUUUUAUGGCCUAGAAAAUGAGGACCCAUAUAAUCAUCUGAAUGAUUUUCAUGCCAUUUGUCAAACUUUUAAAUAUGAAAAUUUUUCAGACGAUGAUGUUAAACUUACAUUAUUCCCAUUUUCUUUAAAGGAUAGAGCUCGUUCAUGGUUAAAUACUUUACAUGCUAAUAGCAUUUCAUCAUGGGAACAAAUGGUAACUAAAUUUUUGAAUAAAUAUUUCCCAGUGCAUAAAACCAAUGCUAUUCGUAGGGAAAUCUCGGAGUUUACCCAGAGAGAGGACGAGCAAUUUUUCGAAACAUGGGAGCGAUUCAAUGGGCUACUCUUGAAGUGUCCACAUCAUGGGUACGAGAAAUGGCACCAAUGUCAAUACGUUUUGAAGGGAUUACUACCGAAUGUGCAAGAAUGGCUAAUGGCAACGAGUGGAGAAGAGCUAAUGUCAAAAAGUGCAUUAGAGAUUUGGGAAUUCUUCCAGCGACAAGCAGAUAAUUCCUAACAACGGAGUCGAUCACUCAGGACUACUAGAAGAAUUAAAGGAGUGAAUGAGGUUCAAAUUGGCGAGUCAACUUCGGGAAUCAAAGAAGUUAAGGAGAUGGUUGAAGGUCUUGCUCGACAAAUAGCAUCGUUAUCGACUGCAAAAUCAACAGAACCACAUGACCAUGACUCAUAUCCAGACCAAGCCAAUGCCAUAGGUAUAAUGAGAAAGCCAUCAAAUUACAACCCAUACUCCAAUACAUAUAACCCUGGAUGGAGAGACCACCCCAAUUUUUCAUGGUCUCAAGGAUUCCAACAGAAUGGACCAACAGCUCCAGCUCCACCAAUGCAACAAAUUCCUCAAGCCUCUCAGCCCCCAUUUAGACCAUUCAAUCAGAAUCAGAACUACUCUCAACCCAGACCAUGGGAGGAUGCAUUCCAGAAUCUCAAAAAUGUUACUCACUCCAUGAUUGAGCAACAGAACCGUACCAUUGAUGGACUACGAAAUGAGUUGAGAGCAGGCUUCAACUCACAAGCUCAAUCAGUUUUAAGCCUCGAGAAGAUGGUGGGACAACUUGCUUCUUCAAUUCAGACCUUGGCAAUGACUGUUGAAAAAGGAAAAUUUCCAAGUCAACCAGUGCCUAAUCCUAAAGGAGUACAUGAAGCAAGUACCAGUUCACCACAGCAGCAUGGAGAGGUCAAAGCAGUCAUGACUUUGCGAAAAGGAAAAGAAGUCGACAAUAAAGUGGAGAUGCCGGUGACAAAAGAAAAUCAAAUUGUACCUGUGAAUGUUGAUGACUCAUCACCGGAGGAGAAAAAAGAAACUAACCCACAAGAAUACGUUCCCAAAGCUCUAUUUCCUCAAAGGUUAGCUAAAGGAAAGAAAGGAAAAUCCACAGGUGAGAUUCUUGAAAUCUUCAAACAGGUAAGUGUUAACAUUCCUUUGCUAGAUGCUAUUAAACAAGUUCCAUCUUAUGCCAAGUUUCUUAAAGACCUUUGUACUAAAAAGAGAAAUAUGCAUGUUCAAAAGAAAGCAUUUUUAACAGAAAACGUUAGUUUUAUACUCCAACAUAAAAUUCCUUUAAAAUGCCAAGACCCAGGCUCCCCCACUAUCUCAUGUAGUAUAGGGAACCACACAAUUGAGAAUGCUUUGUUGGAUUUAGGAGCUAGUGUAAAUCUUUUGCCUUACUCUGUAUUCGUGAAACUUGGACUUGGAGAAUUACACCCAACUCCAGUGGUGUUACAGCUUGCAGAUCGGUCCACAAAAAUACCUCGUGGUAUUGUGGAGGACGUGCUUAUCCAGGUAGACAAGUUUUAUUUUCCUGUUGAUUUCAUUGUAAUCGACACUCAACCAAUACAGGACUCGAGGAAGCACAUCCCCAUUAUUCUAGGCCGACCUUUCUUGGCAACUGCGGAUGCUCACAUUCAAUGCAGGACUGGAAAUAUGUAGUUGUCCUUCGGCAACAUGACUAUGGAGCUAAACAUUUUCAACAUUGCCAAACAACCUCACAGUGCAGAUGAUGGAAUUGUUGAUGUGGAUUUAAUUGAAGCAUUAGUUGAUGACACUUUUCUUUCAAACCUUAGUGAUGAUCCUUUACAAACAUGUUUAACUCACUUUGGUUUGGAUUUUAAUAUUGACAAAUCGGUCGAAGAGUUCAAUGCCCUACUUGACUCCGCACCAUCCAUGGACACUAAUAAAUGGAAGUCAAGAGUUGAACAACUAGCACCAUCAGAGAAGAAACUCAUCCCAUCAUCAGAAUCACUACCAAAACUCGAGCUCAAACCAUUGCCCAACACUUUGGAAUAUGCGUUUUUAGGAGAAGAAAGCACUCUAUCGGUAAUCAUCUCAUCAUCCCUAAACGAUGAACAAAAAGGUAAGUUAUUGGAUAUUUUAAAAGAGCACAAAGGAGCAUUAGGAUGGACCAUAGCAGACAUAAAAGGUAUAAAUCCAGUAGACUGCAUGCAUUACAUUCACCUUGAUGAAAAUGCUAAAUCUACUAGGGAAAUGCAACGUCGGUUAAAUCUUAAUAUGAAAGAAGUUGUUAGAACAGAAGUCCUUAAGCUAUUAGAUGCAGGUAUCAUUUACCCCAUUUCUGAUAGUUCAUGGGUUAGUCCUGUGUAAGUUGUCCCCAAAAAGUCAGGAGUCACUGUAGUUACCAAUGCCGAUAAUGAAUUGAUACCCACUAGAGUGACUACAGGAUGGCGUGUAUGCAUUGAUUAUAGGAAGUUGAAUUCUGUCACACGUAAAGACCAUUUUCCUUUACCAUUUAUUGAUCAAAUGCUUGAUAGAUUAGCAGGUCAUGAAUUUUAUUGCUUUCUAGAUGGCUACUCAGGAUACAAUCAGAUCCCCAUAACACCAAAAGAUCAGGAGAAAACUACUUUCACUUGCCCUUUUGGUACAUUUGCAUAUAGGAGAAUGCCAUUUGGAUUAUGCAAUGCACCUGCUACAUUUCAACGAUGCAUGUUGAGCAUUUUUUCUGAUAUGGUUGAACGAUUCCUUGAAGUCUCUAUGGAUGACUUUUCUGUCUUUGGUGACUCGUUUGAUCAAUGUUUACAUCAUCUAACACUAGUUCUGCAGAGAUGUAUCAAGAAGAACUUGAUCUUAAAUUGGGAGAAAUGCCAUUUUAUGGUAAAACAAGGUAUUGUUCUCGGUCACAUCAUUUCGAGCAAAGGUAUUGAGGUUGACAAAGCCAUCAUUUCUAAUCUUCCUCCACCUAAAACAGUCAGAGAAGUAAGAUCUUUCCUUGGGCAUGCUGGUUUUUAUAGACGUUUCAUUAAAGAUUUUAGCAAAGUUUCUAGACCCUUAUGCAAUUUACUUCCUAAGGAUGUACCUUUUAUCUUUAAUGAUUCAUGUCUUGUGGCUUUUGAAAAAUUAAAGCAGUUGUUGACAUCAUCACCCAUUAUUCAGGCCCCGAACUGGAGCUUACCAUUUGAACUCAUGUGUGAUGCAUCUGAUUAUGCAGUAGGAGCAGUAUUAGGACAAAGAGUUGAUCGAAUUCCCCAUGUUAUUUAUUAUGCUAGUAUGACAUUGAAUGAUGCACAGUUGAACUAUUCAACUACUGAAAAAGAAAUGCUAGCAGUAGUGUUUGCAUUGGAGAAAUUUCGUUCUUAUCUCAUUGGUUGUAAAAUAAUCGUGUUCACAGAUCAUGCUGCUCUUAAAUAUCUUCUCACAAAGAAAGAUGCAAAAGCUAGACUAAUUCGUUGGGUGUUACUUUUGCAGGAAUUUGACUUGGAGUUCAAAGAUAAGAAAGGGACAGAAAAUGUUGUGGCAGACCACCUCUCUCGUCUCCAUUUUGACACAAUUACAGAAUCAUUACCAUUGAAUGAGUCAUUUCCAGAUGAACAAUUAAUGAAUAUGGACGUAUUACCUUGGUAUGCUGAUAUAGUUAAUUAUCUUAUUACAGGUAAACUUCCAGAGCAUUGGACCAACCAAGACAAGGCUAAAUUCUUUGCAGAAAUAAAGAAUUUCUUUUGGGAUGACCCGUAUUUGUUCAAGUAUUGUGCAGACCAAAUUGUUAGACGAUGCAUCCCAGAAAGUGAAAUUCAGAAUAUCCUUUCAUUCUGCCAUGAACAAGCUUGUGGAGGCCAUUUCAGCGCUAAGAAAACAGCGACUAAAGUUUUACAAUGUGGUUUCUAUUGGCCAACUAUAUUUCGAGAUGCUUACACUUUCUGUUCUUCAUGUGAUAGGUCUCAACGAAUGGGGAGCAUUACACGAAGGAACAUGAUGCCACUAAAUCCAAUUUUAGUGGUUGAGAUUUUUGACGUAUGGGGUAUCGACUUCAUGGGACCCUUUCCCCCGUCUUUUGGCCAUCAAUACAUAUUGGUUGCUGUUGACUACGUAUCCAAAUGGGUAGAAGCAAUUCCAUGCAAAACUAAUGAUCACAAGGUGGUGAUAGUAUUUUUGAAAAGCAACAUUGUUUCACGCUUUGGAUUCCCUCGAGCGAUAAUCAGUGAUGGUGGUGCCCACUUUUGUAACAAAGCAUUCAAGGCUCUUUUGACAAAGUAUUCAAUCACACACAAAGUGGCGACUUCGUAUCAUCCGCAAACCAGUGGCCAAGUUGAGAUCUCCAAUCGAGAAAUAAAGCACAUAUUAGAAAAGACGGUGAGGCCAGACAGAAAAGAUUGGCCAUUAAGACUUGAUGAUGCCUUAUGGGCAUAUAGAACGGCUUUCAAGACCCCGAUUGGGAUGUCACCCUACAGGCUAGUGUAUGGAAAAGCUUGCCACCUACCUGUGGAACUCGAGCAUCGUGCAUAUUGGGCCAUCAAGAAAUUCAAUUUUGACAUGCAGCAAGCCAGCUCAGAAAGAAAAUUACAGCUGGCAGAACUUGAAGAAAUUCGCAAUGACGCGUACGAAAAUGCCAAGAUUUACAAGCAACGAAUGAAAGUCUUCCAUGACAAGCAAAUUAUGAGAAAAUCUUUCACUCCAGGUCAGAAAGUGCUUUUAUUCAAUUCUCGCUUGCACCUAUUCCCAGGUAAGUUACGCUCUCGUUGGUCUGGCCCAUUUAUUGUUCAUACUGUUUUUCCAUAUAGGGCAAUUGAAAUUAAGGACCCAAAGAACGGUGUCACGUUUAAAGUUAAUGGUCAAAGAUUAAAGCCAUAUCUAGAAUACCAAUCAUAUGGAGAAGACACCGAAAUAAAUUUGAGUGACCCACCAGAUUUGAAUUGAUUUUUCUUUUCGUUGAUUUGAUUUUUCUUUCUUUCUUUAUAUUAUUCUUUUGCUAAUUGAAAUUAUUUUUGCAUAAGUAUGUUUGUUUAACUAGUAAGUUUUCUUUUAUCAUUUUUAAUCAUGAGUACAUUACUUAGACCGUUCCUCCUGAACAUUCUUAAACCACUUCAACGUGUCAAAACUCAUCUCAAAAGGCAGAUUCAAUUUUGUAAAACACAUCGCAUUUGGCUCUACAAUCACCAGAGUUAGUAGCCUAUGUUGAGGGUUUAGAAAGCCAACUCAGAGACAUUAAGAGAAGUGUUUACGACAUCCAGUUGGAGCUUGAGGUAAAUUCAAUAAGAGGACGGCUUUAAUUUUCUUUGUGUGUUUUAAUUUGUUUUUAUGUUUGUGUGCUUUAGUUUGUUACCCCGGUGAAGUGGCGGAUAACGGUACUCUGUGACAAUCAAGUCGGUUACUUCAGUUUCCCAUAAUAAUUGAUAUUCUGAGGCGAAAGUAUGGACAGAAACGAGAUUCUAGCGAAGCUUCACAAUUGAUUCCCUUCACUUCCUCAGAAUGCCCUCCUUACGAUCUAUAAAGCUCGGUCCGAACGCAUGCGAUUACUCAUGAGGAAUAACAUAUCUGCUGACAUCCGUUGGUUAACCGAGGCUAAAGUACGAUCGGCAGGUGAGUUACCUCCAAAAUUUAUUGCAUACAUGCCUGGUUGUGGUAAAGGAAAUUAUGCAAGAAAACGACGAGCUCGAAGAAUUUCUGUUGCUUGUCAUAAGUGUGCCAGAAUGAGUUGCAAUAAAAACCCAUGUUCUUUAGGAAUGGUGUCUGAUAACAGGGAAGAUAAGAUUCAAUUCAUUAGGGAUGGCUUGAAUAAGGAGUCAUUGGAUGAUAUCCUUUUGUCUCUUGAAACGCAUCCCAGUGGAUAUGUGCAAGGAGCGAUUCUCCAGUUAUGACCAUUAUUCUAGAAAGAGCAUGCACGAUAUAGUCUCGGGAAUCUGACUAUAAACGACCCUGUUUGCCAGUUUAUAAGAAAACUGGAUAGGAAGCCUAUCCUCGACCCAUAGAGGGCGUUCAAGCCGUUUCUGGACGUAAAACCAGAGGAAGAUGUGAGCCACAGUCGCAACUACCUGUAAAUAUCCUUUCACUUUACUGUUAUUUUAUUUCACUAUUGUUUUAUUGUGUGUAUUAUUGUCCUUAAUAAUUUUAUUACUGUUUAUUUUUUUCUUAUUACUGUUUACUUUUUCCUUUUUACUGUUUCCUUUUUGACUCGCGAGCCACGUGCUUUACGCAUUAUUUGACACUGACAUGUUACCUCAUACACAACUGUGACCCACUGUCACCAAGACUCUUAAAUGUGAUUUUUUUUUUCAAGCACUCACAAAUUGUUUUUCGAGAAGUAUCACAAUGGCAGCUACUCCAAAUAGACAAUUCAAGAACAUUUGUGUGCUUUCUGGAUUUACCUAUGGCAAACAUAAAGAGUUCGUUGAGGCAGCCAUCGAUCUUGGUCGAAGUAUAGCAGAGAGAAAAUUACACUUGGUGUAUGGAGGAGGUAACCGAGGGUUAUCAAAAAUGGUCUCUGAAGCAGCUUUUGUCAGAGGAAGUCAAGUGUUAGGCAUCAUCCCAAGAGUCUUAAAACCGUUGGGCAGUUCGUCUGACUCAUCAACUGGAGAAGAGUUAGUUGUCUCAGGUAUGCAAGAAAGAAUAACUGAAAUGCUUAAUCAUGCUGAUGCUUUUAUUUUCCUUCCAGAAGAUCUUGCAACACUAGAGGCACUUAUCACACUAGCAUCUUGGGCCCAUCUCCACAUCCACCAGAAACCCAUCGGUUUGUUAAAUGUCAAUAACUUUUAUGAUGGCUUUAUCGCAUUUCUUAACCAUGCAAUAAAAAACUAUUUCAUUCCCGCUAAUGUGAAAAAACUCUUUAUUUGUGCUCACACUGCUAAUGAGCUACUUGAUCUGUUACAAGCUUAUAGACCGGAGCCAGACCCCUGGACCUUUGUGUUGGAGCGUCCAAAUAAUGAUGGUAACAGUAGCAGCAGUAAGAAGUACAAAUUAGAUUUAACUCUCCACCUGUAAAUAUUUUCUUCUGUGUUGCACCACCCAGGUGAUGUCUUCUAAACUUUACUUCUUUCCUUUCAAACAUUGAGGACAAUGUUUCAUUCUGGUUGGGGGGAGGGAAUAGUCGACAAUUGUGGAAUCUUGGUUAGGUUUUUACUGAUUUUUUGUUGUAGAAACUAACUGUUGCUAACUUUUUGUGUUGAAGAUGGCUGAAUAUGGAGUAUAGUUACUCUAGAAACGCAUCUUCAUUGUUUGAAAAAAAAACAAAAAAAAAAUUUCAAAAAAAAAAUUCAAAAAAAAAUUCAAAAAAAAAAAAUUAGACAUUUUCUUUUUCUUUAUUAAGUUUUGAUGUUUAUUUUUCUUCUUUUUAAUUUCUCCUCUAUGAAUAUACAUUUUCCAACUUUUGAGUCGAAGAUUGCUGAAUAUGGAGUGUAGUGCCUCUAGAAACGCAUCUUCUUAGUAAAAAAAAAAAUCAUUUUCUUUUUCUAUCAUUUUAAGUGUACUUUUUCUAAUUUGUUUUUUUUUUUGCAUCAUUUUCACAUUUCUGCAUGCAUAUUUUUCUUUUAUGUUUAGAAUAGGUUGGGGGGUAGAAUGUUGUUUAAAAAAAAAUGUGUGGUUUGUUUUAACAUUGGAUGACAUGAUUAAUUUCAAAUUUUAGUAUUUGUAUUAUCUUUGGUCUUAAGUGAUGUUACAUUAUGUUUGCUACUCUACAUGUUGAUGUUGGAGACAAAUAUGAGUUGCUUGAAGGAAUGAACAUGUCAUAAUAAGUACCAAGUGAGUUUUUGAGCCUAUCAUUUUUCUUGGAGAGUAACCCUUUUGCCCAUUCUUUAUACAGCUUAACAGUUUAUUAUUGUAUACACGAUCUCUAUAUUUCUUUUGAGUUAACCCUUAAAAAAAAUUGUAAAACUAAAAAAAAAGAGAAAAAAAAGAAACAAAAUGUGUGUUGCUACAUUUGGAGGCCCAUCUAACUAGUAGAUAUGGAUGAUUAUUUAGAGCCCUAAAAGACGAUAGAAAGGCCAUCUUUGAUCCGUUUGAACCUUUCUAGCCAUCCCUUUUAUUAAAUAUCCAUAGUUAACCCUUUUGAGCCUUUAAAAAUAUAUAUAUAUAUAUUUUCUUUGUCAACUUAUCAUCUUGACCCACUCUGAUUUGGAGUAUUACCCGAUGCCUUAUAAGUUCCAUCACCUAUUUAUGUUUGAGAAAAUGUAAAUAAUUAUUUUGUUCAGUGAAGUUAUGCCAAAUAAAAGCAAAAAAAAAAAAAACAAAACAAAAGUUGUUGUUUCAAAAGAAUAAAAAUAACAACAAUAGGUGAAAUCCACCUCGCAUCUUCUUAAAAAAAAAAAAUCUCUGCAUUUUUCUCAAACAUACACUUUGUUUUCCUUAUUUCCCUUCUUUGUUAACCAUGUCCCUAGCUUACGUUACGUCCUAAUAAAAGUCCUUCUUGAUUUUAGGAAACUAUAGUCCGAAGUAGAAGCUAGUUAUAUGGGCUAAAAAGAUGUAGUGAUGCAUAAUUAAAAAAAAGAUAAACAAAGUGGGUUGACUAACAUUUUAUUUGACUUGAGAUCGUAUUAUUUCUAAGCUGAGGACAUAUUUAUUUCAUCUUGGUGAGAGCAUGUGAUAUCACUUCUUUAUUAUUUUCUCUCUCAAUUACCAUUCAUUGGAAUGACUAUUUUUAUUGGGUUUAAUUUAUUUGUGAGAGUGUCACUACUUCCAGUGAGAUUUUGGGGUUUGACAUGUCAUUCUUGAAAGUAGCUAUAACAAAGUCUACUAGGCUAAUUCAUGUGGAUGGUUGAUAUGGGUGUGAUAUUUCUUUAGACUGGAGAUAAUGCUUAUACUUUUAUUUGAUUGCUAUCAUUCAUCUGAUUGAAUAAAUAAGAGUGUUUCAAAAAAAAAAUCAUUUUGAAUUUGAAUUUUGUUUUCGCUUUAUUUGCUAGGGACUAGCAAUAAGCUGGUUAGGGGGUGUGUUGAGUGUUAGAAAAUGCAUAUUUAUAAAGGAGAAAACCAUCAUUUUACAUUUUAAGUCUUACUAACAACCCUUACUUUUAUGUUUUUAACAUUCUUGUGAUUUAAUUACGUGUGUUUUAUUUUAAUUAAGUAAUUUAUGUAUUUUAGGGGCAUUAUAGUCAUUUCACAAUAAAGGAGAGAUCAGACGGCAAAACGGACAUCACUUCUGAACUCAGGACGGUCAAAAACCUUAGGAGGAGCAUAAAAGGAAAAAUGGCACUAUUCACAUGUACGGUACUAUUCACGUGUACGGUACUGUAUACGUUACUGUUCACGACACUGUUCACAUAGACGGAUGAUGACGUGGCAUUGACCGAUGAUGUGGCAUUGACUGAUGAGGUGUCACGAUCCUGUUGGACUAAAAUUCUUAUGUACUGUUGAUGGUGACGUGGCAGUAUAUCAGUGGACGAAAAAUCUCGCGUACGGUGCAUGCACUUGGGUUAAUGUGUGUUGGUGGACACAGUUGAUUCAAAGGCUACUAUGAAUGGGGUUGGUCAUCGUCGUGAGGAGGGAACUCCAGCACUAGUAAAGCACCACCACCAACCACCGGUGGAGCCAUGAUCAACUGCUCAAGGGUGGGUCAACAGGGGGCAAGUGGUGGUCAAAAUUUUAUUGAUCUAGUAAAAGCAUACAUUUUCAGUUUUUAAUAUGUUUUUACACAUUUACCCUUCUAUACUGAUGUUAUACGUAUUUUCAUAUUAACGGCAGGGGAGGUAUAUGUAAUUACACGAAUACAUUCCAUCUAAGUGUUAAUACACCAAACCUCAGGGGAGGUCCCUAAAAAUUACCCAAGUGUCUUGCCACUGUAUUUAGUUCCUAUGGAACAAGGAAUUGUGAAACUUCCUGGAUCCUUCAACUUCUGAGGCAUUUUACUCUGAAGCAUAUGGCUGCAUUCUUGUGUUAGACCAACUAUUUCAAAUUCUCCAAGCCUCAUUUUCCUUACCAAUAUACAUUUUCAAAACUUUACAUAAUUUGGCAUUUAUUCUAAUGCUUCCACAAAAGGAAUGUUGAUAUGUAGUUGUUUCAAUACUUCCAAGAAUUUACUAAACUACUUGUCUUGCUUUCACUUCUGAAAUCUUUGUGGGAAGGGUGGUGGAUGUGUAAAUUGUUAUACUGCAGCAGACUGUACAGAUUGCUUUUCUCUUGCUCUAUUAUAGUUUGUUAUUGUUAGUGCUGUAGCUUCUUCCUCAACAAGCACUGAAUCAUGUUUUUCUGCAGUUGCUAUAGCUUGGCAACUCUCACCAGUGUGCUGGAAAAUGGGUUAUUGUGUCUCUUUUUUAAUUUGAGUUUCCCCUUGGGUUGAAUUAGGUUCAACUCUUCUUUUUGGUACUUUAACAAGAAUAUGAAGAUCUUUUCCAGACCUUAAGUUAAUCCCCUUACAAUGCUCGUUUCCUUCUCUCUUUGGAUCCUCUGUAUUGUUUAGUAAAUUGUCCUAAGGUAUGUUGCUCAAUGUUGUAGCAAGCUGUCCAAUCUUAUUCUCCAAGUUUCUUAAAAAUACAGGUUGGCUUUAGACCACUACUUCAAUCUUCACAAUAUACUCCUUAAUCAGAGUUUCAAGGGAACUAAAUUGAUCAUUACUGGUGUUUCUUUACCCUUAAAAUUGUUGGUGAAAACCAGGUGGCUGAGUAGGUCUUUUCUGUCCACUGGAUGCUGUGGCAUGCUGAUUCUGAUUGCUCCAUGAAAAAUUUGGGUGAUGUCUCCAUCCAAGGUUAUAGGUGUUUGAAAAUGGAUUGCUUUGAUUUUGUUUAUUAAAAUUGCCCACAUAAUUGACUGAAGCUGAAUUCCUAGGACAAUUAUCAUAUAGAUGUCCCUCUCUAUAAUAAACACAAGAGACUUCAGCAACUUAGUUAACUGUUGCUGGAACAGUGGCCGUUGCUUUUACCAUAUUUGUCAAUGAGGUUACUUGGGCUGAUAAUGUUGUCAGUGCAUCCACAUUGUGUACUCCUGCUGCUCCUCUCACUGUGGCUUGUCUAGUUGAUGGUCAUUGAUAGUUAUCCUUUCCAAAAUUUCGUAAGCCUCAUUAUAUGAGUUAGACAAUAAAGCCCCUAGUGCUUGAGUUCAACCCAUUGUAGAAAGUUUCCAAUUGUAUGCAAUAAGGAAUACCAUGAUAAGGGCAUCUCCUGAGUAACUCCUUGAAUCUUUCUCAUGCAUCAUACAAGCUUUCAUCUUCAAGUUAAUGGAAAGAUGUGAUCUCAUUCUUCAACUUUGCAUUCUUUGUUGGUAGGAAAUAUUUCAUCAAAAUUUUGUCAGCCAAAUCAUUCCAUGUGGUGAUGGAGUCUGGUGGCAAAGAACUCCAUUGUACCAACUAAAAUUGAUUUCACAAAACACAAUAACCACCAAUCCCCGGCAAUGGUUCAAAAAAUUUGUUGUCGAUUUUCUAAUGCUAUUAGUGUCAAUGUGAAAAUGUACACAACAAGUAAUAUAACGAUAAGUAUUCAAGAUCGUCUCCACAAGGAUUAUUAUUAUAGGAAUUGCUACAAUAAUUUUAUCAGUGCCAUUCUUAUUAUAAAUUAGAAUUAAAAAAAAUUAUUCAACUAAUAAACUAAGGCAGAUCUUAUUGGGCUACUCGGCAAGGUGUUGCUUUAGGUCGUGUGGAAUAGUUGCGGGAGUGAUCUUGCAUGAUGUGUGGAGCUAUAACAGUGCUGAGCAUGGGCCAAUCUAUGGGCUCAUGGAACUAGCGAACCUAUUCUAGAAUUUUGAGGAAGAGUACUCUGGUUAGUACUCUAAAUUACCUUAUUAUAUUUUGCACAAACAGAGGCAUGUUAGUGAAAUAAUAUCUAAGCAACCCAAGAGGGGGUGAAUUGGGUUUCUAAAAAUUAUGCAAUUCUUAAACAAAACUUAAUGCAAAUCUUAAACGAAUUUAAAGCAAUAAUAAAUAAAUCAACCAAAAUAUAAAAAGAUAAGGGAAGAGAGAUUAAAACACAGAGAGUUUUACGUGGUUCGGCCAACCUUGCCUACAUCCAUGCCUCCAAGCUCACCGAGCUUGGGCAUUCCACUAGUCAAGCCUUCAAGGCUUCAAGAAUACUUAUAAUAGACUUCUUAGGUGUCAAUCAACCUUCACAUCUAGAGAUUAUCCCCAAUCUUUUAACCCAAGUGUAUCCCAACAUUUACAAUCACUCAAAAUAAAGAUUACAAAUUUAUUUUUCUUUCAUACAAUUUUUUAAGAUUACAAAUCAACGCUAAUGUGUGAAUAAAUGAACAAGAAUGAAUUUGAAGCUCAAUAAAUGUUGUAUUCUCGAUUAUAAGCUCAAUGAUAACGUUGUGAUAAGCUCUUGUUUGAAUUUGAUUGAGCUUAUUUAUAGUUGGAGUUGAAAAAUAGCCAUUGUUGACUUUUUCCCGAAAUUGGAUCGCCGUUAACCGUUUUGACUGGUCCAAGUGACCAUUGAGCUGAAUUUCAAAUAAACGGUUGAUCAUUUGACACUAUCGGUUUGCCGUUAAUUUCCAUAAACCUGUAAAACAAAUUUCUGCUAUCCGUUCUUGCUAAACAGUUGAAGGUCAGCAUGGAAUGACAUUAUGGAAAUUAUCGGUUGGCCGUUUGAAGUUAACGGGUCACCGUUUACUUCCAGAAUCACAGUUUUAACCAAAUUUCGCAGGGAAUUAUUUUUCAGUUAAAGUGAACGAUUAUCCAUAUUUCAUGAACACAUUUAGAAAGAUUAUACGACUUUUGAGAAAUUGUUAUUAAUGAAAACUCCAACAUUUUAAUAAAAAACAUUUAAAGUUUGUUAUCAUCAAAAUCAAUAUAAUGAACAUCUACAUGUUAACAGUUAGGCCUUGAUUAUUUUUUAAAUCUUAUAAGAUAUAGAGUAUUAAUAGUAACUCAAUUUUCAUAAAACAUGGAAAGAUCAGUCGCCAAAUUUCUAGAUGCCAUAGAUAAUCUAGACUUUAGUAAGGAAUAUCAAGUUAUUUAUACAAUGAAAAUUGUUAAAACUCGAUUAAUUGCAAGGAAACACUUGUAGAGAGAUAUGGAGAGAAUAAACUUUGAAGAUAACAAUGAAAUACAUGACACAUUUAAGGAAGAAAAUAUAAUAGUAUUAAUAGAAUCUAUUUUAACCGGUCUUAAGAUAAUUCAAGAUUGAUGCAAAAUAAAUAACAGGACUCUAAACCGUCCAUAAUCAGUCUAUUGAUUAAUAAUAACAAUAAUAGUGAUGUGAAAUUUUUUAUUCAGAAUGCUCAAUUUAGAUUAUAAUAUCUAUGUGAAAGCAUUGAUGACACGUACCUUGGUUGGGAAAAUAGAUUGGACACAUGGAUAUAUAUGUUGGAAGAAAAAAUCUAGUUUAUGUCUCAAGAGAGACAAUAACUUAUAAAUGCCGGUGCUAUAGUAUAUUCAGAUUUUAUAAAUCUUUAUAAAUUUAAUAAUCAUUUAGAUCUUCAUAAUAUUAUAAUAAAACUUUAAAAACUUUAAAAAAAUAUGUAGAAGAGAUGGAAGAAGAAAUCAUCCAGUUAUUCAAAAUCAAUUAAACAAAAAUAGAAGGUAAAAUCCAUGAAUUAUAUAAAUUAUACAAUUUCAUAGAAAUUUUGCAUAUAUUGCAAAAAGGUCCUUGUGGCACUAAUUAUGGGACUAGUGUAGCAUAAAUACUAAUAUUGCUUUUUAUUUUGUAAAUUAAUUGUUGCGUCAUAAUUUUUUUACAUACAAAUUUUAUGUUUUAAAAUAUGAAUUUUGUUUUUGUAUUUAGGGUUAAUUUUACAAUUUCAUACUUUGUUCAAUUAUAUGUACAGGUCCUUAACGUGUUGGUUGAUGUUGAAUAUUCAAAGAUCCACAAGCUAUCAAUGACAACCAAUCAAAUUAAACUAAUCAGUAAAUACAUAAUGACUGGGUUGUUUCCUAUGCUUGUUAAUGAUGUAGGAUGUUAUUUUAGGAAUUUAGAAUUUUAAUUUUUUAGGUCUUCUGAUAUUUUCUUUUUUAAUUAAAGUCAGUGUCUUAGUUUUUUUUUUAUUUCUGUUAUAAUUAUAAUUUACUUUCACUUUUUAAGUUAACUUAGGAAAAUAUAUUUACUGUAUUAUAAAUAAAGAAAUCUUGUUAUUACUUUAUAACUUCAACUUUAGUUAUUCAAUUAAAAACCACUCUUUUAUAAUGUCCUUUUGUAUUAUCUAUUAAAAACCCUCUUUUAUAAUGUUCUUUUGUAUUAUCUAUUAAAAACCCCUCUUUUAAAGUUGUUUGAUUAGAGCAUCAUCUAGCCUUGCUUAACGCAAUAUUAAAAAUUCCUUUGAGUUUAAUCACACGUCGAUUAGAGCAUAACUUAAUCGCAUUGACUUGGUUCAGUACUUGAACGAUAUCUAGUGUUUUGCUUCUGCUACACCCAAGGAGAAAAUUAAUUUCACCGUGAGAUAAGAGCAUUAAAAGGAAUUCAUAAGAAAUUUAAAUUAAAGCUAUGUUAAAUAUAUCGCUAGCUACUUGUUUUUGGAGGAAUUAAAACAAUUAAUUAGCUGCGAAGUGAAAAUGAAUAAAUAAAUGAAAUGAGGUUCAAAAUAAGUCUCGCCGCCUGGAUCCAAGGCCAAAACAUUCAUGAUAAGUUAGGUAAUUAAGUACAUGUUUUCAAGCUCUUCAUGAAGAAUAACGUUAUUGAAAUAAAUCACAAAGACCCCUGCGCAAAUUAUUACAUUGAUUAAAAAACAAAAAGCCAUAUCUUUAACAGGAUCGUGACUCUCGGACUGUUAAUUACUUUAUUCCCUGCUUGGCCAACAGCUGGCCACUAAACAAAAUCAUAUAAAUUUUAAAUUUAGUCAAAUUGGUCCCACUUGAGACAUCCUUUUCAUACAUAAAAUUGUUUAACGUCAAGGUUAAAUAUGAGAAGUUUGGUAGAGAAGGUAAAAAGGAAGUCUAUAUAAGGAGGGGAACGAGCUUUGUUUAUAGCACAAGUGAAACUCCACUUUAUUGAACGAUGGGGUCUCAAAUGGGCUGCCUCUUUGCCACUCUUUUGGUAGUAUCAGUCUCUCUUAGCUACUUGCCGUUAGAAGCCUCCGCAAACAAAUACUACUACACAUCUCCUCCCCCUCCCAAGUACAAGUCUCCACCACCCCCGCCACCGAUUCACAAUUCUCCACCACCACCCCCUGUUUACCUGCCCCCGCCACCUCCUCCACCAGUCUACGUGCCUGCUCCGGCACCAACUCCAAUUUCCUAUUCCCCGCCACCUCCUGUCCCCAAGUCCCCACCACCACCUCACCCUUACGUCUAUGCAUCUCCCCCUCCUCCUUACUACUACUAGAAAGCGGCCAUGAAUAGCUCAUGCUUUUAUGGUAAUCUCAUUUAUUUUUAAAACUGUACAUGUAAAGACUAGUAGUUCAGAAUUACAUUAAGCAUUUCAAUUUUGAGCACCGUAUUCUGUUUAAUUGCGUUCCUAUUGAUUAAGUGACAAAUAAAAGAGAUUGAUUAAUUUGUUCUUGUAGGAGAGGCGAAUGGUAUCCGAAUAAAGAAAGCAAGGGUUUGAUGGAAGGCUUACUUGGAGCAAGAUAGCGAUCAAUCGAGUUGCUGCGUUUUAUUCUCUUUUAUCUUUGUUUUUUAAGAAAAAUAAACUGCCACGCGUAGAAACAGAAAAUUAAGUUCUUGUCAUUUUCAUGCAUAUGGAUUGUUGAUGUGCGUGUCAAUCAAAUCUCCGGUGUGUCAUUUGUAAUUUUCAACCUUUAUGCAUGCAAAUGCGAGACCUCUUACGUCUAAUAAAAUUAAUAUACUUCCCAAGAUGGUCUUAUCUUGCGUUGACUUUUUACGUUCCUUUGGUGAUGAUUUUGACGUUUGAAAUUGAUGACUAUUGUUUUUGUAAACUCUGACAUGGAUUUUUCGUGCAACUACAGAGCACAUUAACGAGAGACUUAUCCAUGAGGGUCCAUGCAGAUCAGUGCUAAUUAACCAAUAAUUAAUAUAACUUAAAAAAUAUAGAGUUAACAAUUUUUAUGGGUCAGGCUCAAUUGCAGAUGUUCGUACAAAAUUUCUUGCUAAUGUAUACUUGAGUAUGAUAAUAAGUUUUAAUCAUUAUUAAUAAUUCACUUGAUAAUAUUAAACAAAUUUCCAUAUCAAUUAAGUUACAAAACUUCUGUGACAAAUUUCCACGUACUGGAACCAUGCAAAAGGGCUUUAUUCAAACAAAGCUGCAUAGCCGUUGGCAAUUAAAAUUAUUUAUCAAUUAAGUUAAGUAGUAAGAAUUGGAUUGUGGAUUCCAUUAAUUAUUUCAAGGAAAAUUUUAUAGAUAAUGCCGUAAUGAAAUUUACGGCAUCAAUACCAUGAUAAAUAUAAAUAUUGUAAAUUACAAAUAGAAUUAGUAAAUGUAAAGUAAAACCAGUAAAUUCAUAAAAGAUUAUUAAUUAUUUAAAAAUUUAACAUUGUUUCUACAUAAUUUUAGUGAAAAUAUUUUAUUCAUUUACAAAAAACUUUUCUUUAAUUAAACAAAAAAAAUUCAUUAAUUAAGCAAAAAAAUUAUACUGAAAAAAAAGUGGAAUAAGUUUUUUUAUCAGUGGUGUGGACUUUGUUGUAAUAGAGAGAUUACACAGUUGCUGCAGUAAGGAAGAAAUCAAUGUUGUAACAUUUGAAGAACUUGAUGAUGAAGAUCGUGGAGCGGCUAACAUAGCACGGUCAGGGGAUAAGCAACCCUUCAGAAUUGACAAGCAAAUCCAGCAAAGGGAACUCACUUCAGACCAACAAGAAUUCAAGGUUAACGGGCCAAAAAUAAAGCACUACAUGGGAACUAAGGUGAAUAGCCUACAGAAGCAUCUAUUCUUGAAGGAUCCAGGUUGAGCGAACAAGAAAGGUAAGACUAAAAGACCUAAAAUCAAGAGCUAAUUGGGAGGCAACCCAAUAAGAGAAGUUGUUUUAAGUCUUUAAAGCAUUAACUUUAAUUUUUAAAUUUUUCUUUUUGUUAUUUUAAGUGUGCAUCUAAUUUUUUAUGUCUUUGUGUUAAAUUGCAGCAAGUAAAAUAAAAAAAAAUGUAAAAAAAAGAAGAAAUAUCAGGAGGGAAUUGAUGCAGCAUCACUUACAGUAUGACAUAUAACAGAAGAUUCUCAAACAACAGAGGCAUUUCUUGCUUUUGCAGCAGCAAAUAGAUUGAUCAAAUUUUAUGAUAAGGAGCGUUUGAGAAGUGGAUCAAAGAAGAAGUUACCAUUUAUAGCCUGUGCUGCAGCAGUGCUUCCAGCAACAUGCAAGUACUCUUACCCACUAGUUUAUUUUACUUCUUUCUACAAAAUUUUUCUUUCAUUUAGUUUUAAUUUUUUUAUUCAUUAUGCAUGUCCUUUUAUUUAGUGUAUGCAUGUCUAGUUUAUGUGGCUUUGUUUUGUGUGCUUGUGAGGACACAACACCACUCAAGUUUUGGGGGGUUGUGUUUCUGAGUGCAUGUGUUUAUGUUUGUGUUGUGUGUUGUGUGAAGCUCUGUUAUCUAAUAUUUGUGUAUGGAUUUGAAAACCUAAUAAAGAUAAAUUGAGUGUUAUUCAAUAUUUAUAAGAACGCCAAGUAGAGAUAGUUAUAAAUGGAGGUUAAAAUUAUGUCCCGACACUUAGACUUUGAUUGAGUUUUAUGAGAAUACUGUAGCAGAGCCAGGAAAACCAAAAAAAGAGUAGAAAAUAUCUCAAGUUUGGGGGGAAAAUUUUGUUGGACUGUGCCUGUUAUGAAAUAAAUUAUGCUCCAAUGGUUUAAGUUGCUGAGUAACUAGGGUUGAGUAUGCACCCCAAAUGCAAACUUGAGUUCAAAGGCAACAAGAGCUAUGAGCAGUACUGCAGCAAUUAUAUAUAAAAAAAAAAGAAAAUAAUGGUGAUGAAGGAAUAAAAAAUAAAGGGAUCCGCUGCCUAAGAUACUGAGUAACCUGGUCUAUUCAUGAGCCCCAUGUUCAGCCUUGAGUCAAAGGUGUUCAAAGGUAAGACCUAGAUAUAACAUCUUAGAUGUGUUGCUGCAGCAACUCUGACAUAUAUGUGUAAUAAAUCAGACUUUUUACAAUUCUCUCAUGAGAUAUUUAAAGUUUCUUCUCUUAAUUUGCUUCUUGAAGAUCCUUCUAAACUUUGUAGCAAUCAUUUCAAUGCCUUCAUCUUCAAAGUGUCUUUCAUCAUCAUCACUUUCAACCAUAAAAGAUUUAAAAGCAAAGCUUUUCUUCUUUUUAUUUUCAUCAAUUCUUUCAUUAGUUAUAUCCUCUUCAUAUGAAAUAAGUGAACCAAUAAGAUCAUCAAGAGAUAAAGUAUUAAGAUUUUUUUUCUUCUUUUAUGGCCGUUCUCUUUGGUCUCCACUCUUUCGGCAAUGAUCUAAUAAUUUUCUUCACUUUUUUACUAUUAGUAUAUAUCUUACCUAGUGCUUCAAGAGAAUUCACAAUAUCGAUGAAUCUAGUGUACAUAUCAUGAACACUCUCAUAUUGAUUUUUUCCCUUAUAUACAACUUCAAGUUUCCUCCAAAUUUCAUAAGCACUUUCACAAUUAGAAACUCUAUGAAAUUUUUUCUUAUCUAAAGCACAAAAUAAUUCAUUCAUUGCCUUGGAGUUUAACGAUAUCUUUUUUUUUUCUAAUUCACUUCAAUGACUUGACGGUUUUGGAAUAUCAUCUCCUACUUCAUUUUUAGUCAUAUGCGUGAAUGGACCAUCACAAACAACUUCCCAAAUUUCAUAAUCUAAAGCUUGUAAAUAAAGUUUCAUCCUAAUUUUUCAAUAUGGGUAGUCAUUACCAUCAAAGAACGAUGGUCUAGUUGUGGACUGUCUUUCCCUAAAGGUUGAGUCAUUUUAGGUUGCUUUGAGUUUUGCUCAUAUCUAUUACAAGCUACCGUGACAACAUCAUUGGUUACUAUCUGCUGACUCAUAAUCAUCUACUCUAACAUCUUAUACACAUUAACAUUAUUUGCGGGAUUAAGGUCAUUCUCAUGUGAUCCUAUAUCAGCUCCAUCUUCAUAUUGUCCAAUAUUUGGUAUGGUAACAUUAGUAUUUGGCAUUACACGCUCAUUCGCUUCUUCAAAAUCCAACCACUCAGAUUAAUCAUCUAGAUGUAUAAAAAAUUACUCCUCAAGUGAUAGGCAACUUUAUUAAUCCCUAUGGUAUCGGCUUUAUUUGCUUGUUUACUUGUAUUGGUGCCAGUCUUUAGUUUAGUGUUGUCAGCAUAUGUGCUGAAACAGAGCUAUAGCGUGGGCUUACUGGAAGCAACUAGAUGCACACACAGCAGAUACUUCCUCAUGCUGAGCUGGCAGAAUUCUAGUAGCUUCAAUUAGUUAUUCCAGCUGCUAUAUAAACUGUAGUGAACAUUCAUUUCGUGUGUGUAACAAUAAUAAAAUAUCCAGAUUCUUCUUCAAACUUUCCUCUCGUUUUCUUGUUAUUUUCUUACUUAACAAACACAUUCUUUUACAUUUUCUCACAUGGUAUCAGAGCCAAUGGCUAACGCAAAUCAAAACACACAAUCCUAUAACUUCAUUACACCUAUCAAACUUGAUCAAAACAACUUUCUGGUUUGGAGGAAUCAAGUUUUAGCUUCAAUCAAAGGGAAUGGGCUGGAAGGCUUUAUAACUGGAGCAAAUCAAUGUCCGGAUCAGUAUUGCAAUCAAAUCAAUGAAGCAUCAAGCUCUGCAAAUGCUGGAUCCAAUUCCAGAACUGAGAAUCUUGCAUUUGCCACCUGGAUCAGAACAGAUCAAUUGCUCCUCAGCUGGAUGUUUUCAUCGAUUCAGGAGAAUUUGCUGACAUCUGUUAUCCACUGUGUUUCCUCUAAAGAACUGUGGGAUUCACUUACUUGAAUGUUUGUUUCUCAGACUCAGGCAAGAAUAAUGCCACUCAAAAUGCAACUUCAGACUGCAAAAAAAGGUUCUAUGCUGAUGACUGCAUAUUUUUCUAAAAUGAAACGUUUAGCUGAUAGUCUUGCUAUUGUUGGAAAGCCUGUUGAACAUAAUGAUCUGAUAACCUACAUUUUGACUGGUCUGGAUUCACAAGAUUAUGAAUCACUAGUUACUACAUUGCUUGCAAAAGGAGAAAAUAUGAGUCUGGAUGAAUUAUAUGCUGUAUUGUUAAGUCAUGAAAUGAGGCUUGAUCAGAAGAAAGGAAAAUUAAGUGAUGAUGUUAUGCAUAAUCUUACUACUAAUGUUGCACAAAAGAAUCAGGGAUUUUAUAAAGGUAAUUUUGGUUAUCAGAGAGGCAUAGGAGGUUUAGGUGGUAAUACACAAAAUAAUUUUGGAAAUGGAAGUAAUGGAGGAAAUAAUAUGCCAUUUAAGCCAAAUAUAGUUGUCAGAUCUGCUUUAUUCCAGGUCAUGGUGCAACCAAGUGCAAAAACAGGUAUAAUUCUGCUUUUGUUCCUCAAAGAGGUCCUGGAAGAGGAAAUUUUAGACCUGUGUUUAAUCAAUAUGGCAGAGGAUUUAAUCAAAAUAAUGCUGGUCAAAGGCCUUUUAAUAAUUUUGGAAAAGGUGGUAAUGGUGCGUUCUCUGGUAAUUGUGCCUUCUCGAAAGGAUUUGGCUAUCAAGGUUAUCAAGGUCAUACUGUUUAUCCAGAGCCAAUACAAUCAGAUCAUGUUGCUGGAAUACCUUUUGGUUCAUUUCACUCAGGUCCUAGCAAUCCUGCUGCUUUCAACUGCUAUAAUGGAGUGAAUAAUGAUCAGAAAUUUAAUCAGAACCAAAACUCUGUUGCUCCAUUCAUCUCUUCACCUGAAGUAAUUGAAGAUCCCUCGUGGUACAUAGAUAGUGGAGCAUCUAGCCACAUCACAAAUGAUUCAGGUAAACUUCUUGACUUGCAGCCUUAUUUUGGAUCAGAAGAAUUACUUGUAGGAAAUGAAAAUGGCUUGAAAAUCAAACAUAUAGGAUCUGUAUUGCUUGCUACAUACUCACAUGAACCCUUGUUUCUUAACCAUGUUUUACAUGUGCCUCACAUAACUAAAAAUCUGCUAAGUGUGUCUCAGCUCUUGACUGAUAACCAUGUUCUUGUUGAAUUUGUUGAUAAUCUCUGCCUCAUUAAGGCCAGGAACUCAAGAAUUCUUUUGCUUAGAGGUAUUGCUAAGGAAGGUUUGUAUCAGAUUCAAGAUGUUAUCUCCUCAAACUUUGAAGUCUCUAAGUCAACUCUCUCAGCUUACUACUCUCAAAUUCCUACUCAUAAGCAUUUGUCUAUAUUUGCUACUCUUUCUACUUCUGAUGAGUCAAGUUUCAGUUCAAGUCAAUCAAAAAUUUUAGCUUCUUCAAGUAAUGUAGUCUGGAAGCCUACUGCUAUGUCAGUGUCUAAUCAUUCAGCAGAUGUAAAUUUGCUUCAGCAAAGACUAGGACAUCCAGCCAUACAUAUUCUCAAAACUGUAAUGAAGCAUUGUAAUACAUUUGCUGAUCUUAAUAAAACUUCAAAUUUGCUUUUUUGUACUGCCUGUCAACUUGGUAAAAACCAUCUUCAAUAUUUUGGUUCUGUAAAAACCAAAACCACAGCACCAUUGCAACUCAUAUAUGCAGACCUCUGGGGACCCUCUCAUAUAACAUCUACUCAAGGUUACAAUUAUUACUUAUCCAUACUAGAUGACUUUAGCAGAUUUACUUGGUUAUUUCCCUUAAAAGCCAAGUCUGAUGCAUUACAAGUUUUUACAAUGUUCAAAACUUUUAUUGAACAACACCUUGACAGGAAAAUCAAAAUUGUUCAAACUGAUUGGGGGGGCGAAUUCAGAUCUUUUUCUUCCUUAUUAGCUGCUUCUGGGAUUCAGUUUAGGCACCCUUGUCCUCAUAUCCAUCAUCAAAAUGGAAGGAUAGAGAGGAAAUAUAGACACAUUGUAGAUGUUGGUUUGACUUUGCUAGCUCAAUCCAAAUUACCCUUGCAUUUUUGGUGGAACGCAUUCCACACAGCUGUGUUUCUUAUAAACAGAUUACCUACACCUGUUCUAAACAAUGUAUCACCUUUCUUCAAACUUUUUCAGCAGCAUCCAGAUUACUCAAUUUUAAGAGUUUUUGGAUGUGCAUGUUAUCCCUAUCUUAGACCCUAUAAUAGACAUAAACUUGAGUUCAGGUCUAGCAGAUGCAUAUUCAUAGGUUACAGCCCACAUUAUAAAGGCUAUCAGUGUCUUCAUUCAUCUGGGAGAGUGUAUGUUUCAAACCAUGUAAUUUUUGAUGAAAAAUCAUUUCCAUAUCAGUCAGGUGUUGAUUUUUCUUUAGCCACAAAUUCAAGUCUGUCAAAUUCUGAUACAACAUCCUCAUCUUCCUCAAUACAAGUCUUUCCAGUACAUUUUUCAGCAACUGAAUUCCAAGAACCUCUACCUCAAGGUUCUCAUCAAAUUUCAUCUCCUUCAUCCAUUAAUGUUUCACCUAUAUCUUCUUCAAGUAAUCAAGUCCCUGUCACAACAGAACCUAAUACAUCCUCUUCAUCUCAACCUCCUCAUCAAUUACCAGCAUCACAGCCCUCUGGUCAUCCUAUGAUCACUAGGUCUAAAGCUGGUAUUUUCAAACCAAAAACAUAUCUUACUACUCUUCUAUCAAAACCCUCUUAACCAACCUCUGUAGCACAAGCUUUAACAUAUCCUAAAUGGUUUGAAGCCAUGAAAGAAGAAUUUAAUGCUCUUCAAGCAAAUCAAACCUGGAUUCUUGUUAAACCUACAAUACCUGUCAAAGUAGUUGGUAAUAAGUGGGUAUUUAGAAUCAAGUAUAACUCAGAUGGAUCAGUAUCUAAAUACAAAGCAAGACUUGUUGCUAAAGGGUUUCAUCAGACAUAUGGUGUUGACUAUAGUGAAACUUUCAGCCCAGUUGUUAAGUCAUCUACAGUAAGAAUUGUGCUUAGUCUGGCAGUGAUGAAUGGAUGGUUAAUAAGACAGGUUGAUGUCAAUAAUGCCUUCUUAAAUGGCAUCCUUGCUGAAGAUGUAUAUAUGGAACAACCAGAAGGAUUUGUUGACCCUUCUAAGCCUCAUCACAUUUGCAAACUUAAAAAGGCUCUCUAUGGAUUAAAACAAGCUCCAAGGGCUUGGUUUGAUAGAUUCAAAUUUGCCAUGAUUACACAGUGGAACUUUGUUAAUUGUAAAUCAGAUUCAUCUUUAUUUUACAAGUGGGAUAAAGGUCACAUUUUGCUGGUUCUGGUGUAUGUAGAUGACAUAAUCAUCACAGGUUCUAAUUCACUUAGUGUGCUGCAAGUAAUUUCUGAUAUGCAGGCCACCUUUGCUCUUAAAGAUUUAGGAGAGCUUAGUUACUUUCUUGGUGUUGAAGUAACAAAAACCAAAGAAGGUAUUCAUCUUUCACAAAGCAAAUAUAUUGCUGAUUUGCUGGCAAAACAAGGUAUGGAUAGCUGCAGUCCAGUACCUACACUAAUGGCUACUUCUCAUCAGCUCACAAACACUCGGGCCCUGAAAUUGACAUUCCUAUCAGUAUAGAAGUGNNNNNNNNNNNNNNNNNNNNNNNNNNNNNNNNNNNNNNNNNNNNNNNNNNNNNNNNNNNNNNNNNNNNNNNNNNNNNNNNNNNNNNNNNNNNNNNNNNNNGUGAACAAACUAAGCCAAUUUCUAGCAGCUCCUACAAUAGAACAUUGGCAAGCAUGCAAGAGGCUGCUGAGGUAUCUUAAAGGUACAAUCCACUUUGGUCUCCAGCUAUACCACAGUGGCAAUUUACAAAUAACUUGCUUCAGUGACUCUGAUUGGGCGUGUGACAGAGAUGACAGAAGGUCUGUAGCAAGUUAUGCAGUGUAUCUUGGCUCAAAUUUGGUGUCAUGGUCUUCAAAGAAGCAGCAUGUAGUAUCUAGAUCUAGCACAGAAUCAGAGUACAGAGCUCUGGCACUGGUACAACUAAGGUUUUGUGGCUUCAAGCCUUACUUACUGAAUUAAAGUUUAAAACAGAAACAACUCCAGUUAUGUGGUGUGACAAUCAGAGUGCUAUAUCCUUAGCUACUAAUCCAGUUUACCAUGCAAAGACCAAACACAUUGAGCUUGAUAUUCAUUUUAUUAGGGAGAAAAUUGCGGCAAAACAAAUUUCAAUCAGCUUUGUUCCCAGUGAGGAUCAAACAACUGAUGUUCUUACUAAAGCUCUGACAUAUGGCCAAUUUCAGUAUCUUAGAUCCAAGCUGAAUGUUCUUCCUGGACCAUUCAGCUUGAGGGGGGAUGUCAGCAUAUGUGCUGAAACAGAGCUAUAGCGUGGGCUUACUGGAAGCAACUAGAUGCACACACAACAGAUACUUCCUCAUGCUGAGCUGGCAGAAUUCUAGUAGCUUCAAUUAAUUAUUCCAGCUGCUAUAUAAACUGUAGUGAACAUUCAUUUCGUGUGUGUAACAAUAAUAAAAGAUCCAGAUUCUUCUUCAAACUUUCCUCUCGUUUUCUUGUUAUUUUCUUACUUAACAAACACAUUCUUUUACAUUUUCUCACAAGUGUAACAAUAAAAAAUGCCCAUUAUUACUUGCAUGGUAACAAUAAAAAGAUGCCCAAUAUUAGGACUUUUCCCUCAACUUCUUGAAAGCAGCCUAAAGAUUUGAGUCCUCUUGCAAACUAACUUCACUUGUUUCCCACAGCAGCGUGACUUUAAACGUGACUUCUUCAGCUUGUCUAAUUGGGCUGUCAAAAUAUAUAUUGUUGAUAUCUCCCCCAAGUCUUGUGAGGCUGUACUGUUAUGGAAUUAUUGAGCCUACUCUGAAUACUUCUCCAUCAACCACUACCUUUAUAUCCUUAUAAAUACGGCUGUAAAACGACAAACAUAGCCAUUAAGUGAAAGCAAAAUAUAAGACACCUAUUUUCUAUGUAAUUAAUACUCGCAAUUACGAAGAGAUAGGGCAUAAAUUCAACACUCAGCUCAAGCAGUACACAUAUUCUCAUAGUUAUUAUUUUAUCAACCUAAAAACAGUGAACGCCAUUUAUAAAUAACAGUUAAAUGAAGUCAAACAUUAACAACGACACUGACUUCUUUAAUAUUAGUGUAACAUUCAUUUUAGAGACAAUACAUGCAUUAGUUUUUACUACAUAAAGUACAUAAAAUGAAGCUCAAUCUCUAAAUUCCAGCACCAGAUCAACAUUAUCAACUCAGCACUCCACACACUGACCGAUUACUCACAAAAACAUAACAUCAAGUGCGCAAUUUAUAAGCUGAAAUAAAUCCAUACAGCUUUAAACUCAAACAGUGAACAUACUCUUUAUAAUAAGUACUUAGUCAACCUAAUAAUUGAAGCGGCAUUUAUAAACAAAACUUAACUUAAGUUAGGCAUUCAAUACUAGUAUUGUCAUCUUUAAAAUCAUUGCAAAAAUCAUUUUUGGAGAUAAUUUUGACAUUAGUUUUACUUUGUUAAGUUUAUAAAAACAAAUAUCAAACUCCCAAUUCCAGCCACAGACCAACAUGAUCAUGCCCAGCACUAUGCACACUAAGCAAUUUCUAACAAAAACAGAACCUCGAGUGCACGCUUUGCAAGUUUAAAUAAAUCCAUGUAAUUUCACAUUAGUUCUCUAACUCUUGCCUCAAAUAUCCUUCUUCAACAAGAUAUCAACCAACUAAAUAGUUGUUUAUGUCAUGAAGAUUCAUAAUAUAGAGAACAAAUAAAAAUAACUGAUUUCUGAAACAAAGUUAUAUUGCUUUAUUAAUCAUUGUACAGUGGAGUCUUUUAUAUAGAUACAAGGCGUGCAAAUUGCUCUUAUCUUAUGAUUGUGUUUAUCAUAUAAAGCUAUAAACUUUUAAAGAUAUUACAAUUAUCAACUCUUAUCGGAUAAAGCACCCAAGUGGAGACUUUGUACAGCACACGUGACAUAUACCAUGAAGUACAUGAGGAAGGAUGCCAUAUGAGAUACGUUUAACAUAUGUUAACCAAGUGUUGUGUUAUUAUGCCCCCACAAAAUAGGCGUUCCAUCGUGAACACCUAGCUUGAACGCGAAGCAACAAACGGAGCACGGGGAAGAGCUUUGGUGAGUGUGUCGGCGAGCUAUUUUUCGGAUGGUAUGUGGACAAUGUUCAACGGCCCGUAGUGCAAUCUCGUCACGAAUGAAAUAAAAGUCAAUUUCGACGUGCUUCAUCUUCGAAUGGUAGACAAGAUUGGUGCAAACAAAAGUAGCUCUAAGAUUGUCACUUUAGAGAACAAGUUUAUAAAUUUGGACACCAAGUUCAGAUAAUAAACUUCGUAACCAGUAAAUUUCAAACACAGUGCUUCCAAUUGACCGAAAUUCAGCUUCAGUAGAUGACCUUGCAAUGGAGCGUUGUUUCUUAGAGGACCAUGAUACUGGAUUUCCAUAAAGGAAUAUGACAUAUGCACUGGUGGAAUUGCGGUCAUCUAAGUUGCCACCCUAGUCAUAGUCGGUGUAUGCUGUGAGUAAAGUAUUGGAGUGUUAGUGAAAUUGGAGGCCAAAGAAAAUAGUAUCCUUGAGAUAACGCAAGAGUCAUUUAGCGACAUGCUAAUGGAGUUGUAUAGGUUACUGAAGAAACUGACUGAGCUUGUUCACGGCAAAGCAUACGUCCAGACGUGUGAGAGUAACGUACUGAAGAGCACCAAUAAGUUGUCUGAACAACAAAGCAUCCACGAAGUCUGAACCAUCAUUAUUCUUUACGAAGUUGAAGAAGACAAGGGUGUUGAGACAAGUUUAGCAUCAAACAUGUUAAAUCAUUGUAACAAAUUACAAAUGUAAAGCUGUUGUGUGAGAAAAAGCCCGUCACUCUUUCGGAUUAACUCAACUCCUAGAAAGUAGUGGAAAUUUCUGAGAUCUUUGAGUGAAAAUGUGUCACUAAGGGCACUGAUGAACUUGGCAAGGGCGAGAUUGUUAUUGCCCGUGUGAAUGAUUUCAUCCACAUAGGUUAGGAAUAUAAGACAAACCUCGUUGUGAUGGAAGAUGAAUAGCAACGCUUUUGAGCAGCUUUGUUGAAAACCAAUGUUUGUCAAGAAUUUACGCAAGGCUGAGAACCAAGCACGUGGGGCCUGCUUGAGUCCAUAUAUUGACUUCUUUAGCUUGCGCACAAAAUUUCGACGGUGAGGAUCAACAAAACUAGGAGGCUGUUUUAUAAAGAUCUCCUCAUCAAGAUUAAGAAGGCAUUGUUUAUAUCGAGUUGUCGCAAGGACCAACCAUGUUGUAAGGCCAAGCAAAGAAUGACCCGAAUGGUGGUGUGUUUUACAACAGGACUAAAAGUGUCAUGAAAAUCUAUGCCAGCCCGUUGAUGAAAUCCUUUAGCUACUAAGCAAGCUUUAAAUCGAUUAAUUUUUUCAUCUGGCUGUCGUUUGACACGAAAUACCCACUUACAGCCAACUAAAUUUUGAUUAGGUGAUGGAGGGACCAACUCCCAUAUACCAUUGGUUAUAAGUGCUUGGUAUUCCUUUUUCAUGGCGUCAAGCCAAUGAGGAUCUUUUAGAGCUUCAGUUAUAGUAUGGGGUUCAACAAAAGGUGGUAGGGGGUGAAAGUUAUAUGACUUUGUCACGGGUUGAAAAGUGGUAGAGUAUUGAUGCUUGGGUUUGUAUAUAUUGUUUUGAGAGUGGGUGAUCAUGUGGUGGGUACGGGUAGGCGGUGGUGCAAGUGUAGGAGAAUUAUUUGGCUCGGGUGCAGGAGGAUUUGGAGAUGAGGUAAUUUCGUGAGCUAUAGAUAUGGAGGUAGGCUCAUUUGUAGUAGUAGGCGUAUUUAGUAAAGGAGCAGGUACAAUUGUGGUUAAUGGAUGAGAGUUAGAAGUUGGAGAUAUAGGUGAAGUGCAUGAGUCUUGGUUGCCUCCCAAAAAUAUGUGUGGGAACUAAGACUUGACGGACAUGGAUGACUAGGUAGAUGAGGUUGUAGACAUAGAUUUGAAUGGAAAUUCAUACUCAAGAAAAUGAACUUCACGGGAAAUAUAAAUCUUUUCAGUCCCAAGUUCAAGACAAAUGUAAGCACUGUGUUGGGAGCUAUAUCCGAGAAAUAGACAUGGAGAGGACCUAGGUUCUAAUUUAUUGGAUGUAUAAGGCUUAAGCCAAGGAAAGAAAAGAGAACCAAACACACGAAGUUUAUUGUAAUUUGGAAUAUCAUGAAAUAGAAGCUGAAAAAGACAUUUUAUAUGUGUUACUGGAGAAGGCAAUCGAUUUAUUAAAUGAACAGCUGUUUUGAAGGCAUAGGUCCAGAAUUUGGCUGGAAGAGGAGGCUUGAUGGAAAAGAGUAGUACCCAUCUCAACAAUGUGUCGAUGUCAGCGCUCAGCUGUGCCAUUAUGUUGGGGUGUAUAUGGUGGUGUGAGUAAGUGAGAGAUUCUUGUUUGAUUGAAAAAUUAUUUUAAUUUAAUAAAUUCACCACCGCCAUCAGUAUAAGCUGAAGCAAUCUUAGUGUGAAAAAAAAUUUCAACUACAUUUUUAUAUUGAAUAAAUGUUGAGAAAACAUCGGAUUUAGCACGUAAAGGAUAGAGCCAGACAUAUUUAGUAAAAUGAUCAAUAAAAAUAAUGUAAUAUCUGAAACCAUCAAUUGACGUAAUAGGAGCAGGACCUCAUACAUCAGAAUAUAUAAUCUUUAACGGUCUGGAACUCUUAAUGGAUGAUUUUCCAAACGGAAAGUGAUGACUUUUAUUGAUGCAACAAGACAUACAUGCCUCUAAUGGUAAUGUCCUAGUCUUACAUGGCUAAAAUGAUUUGAGUACACUUCUCAAAACUUUAUUUGAAGGAUGACCUAAACGCCUAUGUCAUUGAUUUGGAUCAGGUUUUAUUGUGACGAAAGAGGAAGCGGACAAAGAUUUAUUGGAAGGAAAAGAUUUGGGCCACUCGUAAACCCCUUCUCUAUUCUGGCCUUGCAGCAAAAUCGCCCCCGUGCUCAAGUCCUUCACCUAAAGAAAAGUAGGGAAGAAUUCAAUAGAGGUGUUAUUGGACAUGCAAAAUUGCGAGACAGAGAUUAGAUUUUUGUGCAUGGAUGGAACAUAAAGUAUAUCAUGCAAGGAAAAAGUUUUACUAGGAGAGUCAAGUGAAAGUGAACCAGUGUGAGAAAUGGAAAGACCUACACCAUUGCCAAUCACUACAAUGUCAUUUCCAUGAUAGGGAUGUUUGAUAGAGAGAUUUUGUAGGUCACUGGUAAUGUGAUGAGAUGCUGCACUAUCAACAAGCCAUUGGGAUGAGGGUAAAGGGGAGGUGGUAGUAUGGUGGGCUGUUAGGUUGGUUCGGUGGGAAGUGAAGUUAGUGCAAUCUUUGGCAGUGUGCCCUUUUUGGUUACAAAGCUGGCAACAACCCUUAUACCCUCUACGUUUCCUAGGAAAUUGGUUGAAGGAAUUUCGGGUAAGUUGGUCAUUCGAAUUUGUAUGAUGUCGAUUGGAAGUUUGUGGAGUGAGUGAUGGUGAGCUAGGUUGGCCACGGUUUUGGUGAAUGUUGCGGUUUGGAUAAGAAUUUUUGGUGUAAUUCUUGGUUGUCAUAUUGGCCGUGAUGGCAGGGGUUUGUGCAAGUGUUUCAUCUCUUUUCAGAUACUCUUCAAAGUCAACUAGCUUGUCAUACAAUUCAUCAAAAGCGAUGGAAGUUUCACGGGCUCGGACACCACCUAUGAUAAACUCUUUCCCAAUGUUGUUUAGUAUGUGAACAACUAAAUCAUCAUCUGUAAUAGGGGAAUCAAUGAGAGUUAACUCAUCAGCAAUGGAUCGUAGAUUAUUUAAAUAAUCUGCAACUGGUUGGUUAGCUCCACGAGGGCGAGUCAAGCACUCUUUGAGAGUUAACACUCUACUUUUGCUUCUGCUAGAGUAUAAUCGUUCUAGUUUGUCCCAAGCUUGCUUAGAUGUUGAACAACUGGCAAUUAAAGGUGCCACCCUUUCGGUUGAAGAUGCAAGAAUUGCAUUAAAAAUAAAUUGAUCUUGUCUUUUCCAAAGGGAGUAUUCUAGGUUUAUGUUGGAGGUAGUGCUGCUGCUUGAACUUGAGGUUUGAUAUGGACACGGAAGUGUUCCAUCUAUGUAUUUUAUUAAAUCAUAGCCAUAAGCUAGCGAGGAAACUGGGCUCUCCAAGUAAAAUAAUUGUUGGGUGUUAGUCGAAUUGGAAGCUAAGCAACAACAUUGAUAGAGACGCAUUCCUUGAUUUGAGUUGCUAUCUGUGUGGUUGAAGUUGCUGUGGAAUGUUGGCUGCUGGCCAUUGUGAGGAUUCUUGGUUGUCACAUGUAUAUGUUAACCAAGUAUUGUGUUAUUAAUUUCAACAAACUCAUGCCAAAAAUUCAUUUGAAUAGCAAUCAGACUCCAAAAUCAUUAUCCAAUGAAACAAUAGGCAACUAAAACAACAAUUACUGAUAUGCAUUUUUAUGAUUUGAAGAAAAAAAGUAGAAACAACAACUCUAUAGACCUACAUCGAUCAUUAGUAUUAUACCACCUCAACUUCACUUUCAAAUCAUUUUAACAUCGUAAAAAGGAAAAAACAGUACAACAAAUGUUUCAGUUACCUAGCAUGCGGCUCCAUUAUGAGUGGGUGGAUUCUUGGUUGUCACCUGUAUUCGUUGGGCCAUUGAAUUUGUUCAAUCUCUCGCAUCGGCUCCUGUCAUGGUUGAAUCUAAUUGCUUUGCUGCCAUCUUUUUGUUUGCAGCAACGAACUUCCUCAAUGCAUUUUUUAUGAAUUGUAACGGUGAGUUGAAUUACGGGAUUGAUUUGUGAGAUGAAAGAUAAAAUCUUUUUUUUUUUCUUUUGGUUUUGGUGCAGCAACUAUUGUACAUAAGGCAUGCUUCUAUUAUUACCCAACUAACAUUACAAUGUUUCAGAUAGGGGUGCCAAAACGAAUAAUCGAAUCGAAUUUGAAUCGUAAACGAAUUGAGUCAAAAUUUCACGGAUUCGGAUUCGAUUCGUUUAUGAAACGAAUUGAAAUCUCAGGAUUCGGAUUCGAUUCGUUUAUUAAACGAAUUGAAAUCUCAGGAUUCGGAUUCGAUUCAUUUAUUAAACGAAUAUUCAGUUCGAUUCGUUUAAUUCAUUUAAUAGAAUUGAUAAACGAAUCGAAUCGAAUCCGGAUUCGUUUAUUAUUCGUUUAUCCUAUUACAAAUCCAUAACGAAUCGAAUCGAAUCAGGAUUCGUUUAGGAUUCGUUUAGAAAAAUAUAACUAAUAAAUAAAAUUAAACAAAAUAAAACAUAAAAAAGCCACACAUUUAAUAUCCUACAACAAAAUACAAAUAACCCAAACCAUAUUUUAAAAUUAAAUAUGCAGUCAUCCAAAUAUUAAAUUACAAAUCCUUUUGUUCCGCUGGCCUUAAACUUUUGUCAAUCUCUUCUUCCAUUUCGAUUAUGUCAUUUACAUCAUCAUCUCCAACACUAGAAUCAUUAAUUGUGUUGAAUUACUUUGGCUUGUGUCCAUUCUCCUAAAAACAAAAUAAUUCAAAAUUAUUUAGGCAGAUGAAUUAACAAUUUAACUUAAAUAAUAUAUACAUAUAUAUUAAUUGAAGAAUAAAAUAUUAAGAUUAAUUAAUUAACUAUUUAGGAAGAUGAAUUAACAAUUUAACUUGAAUAAUAUAUACAUAUCUAUUAAUUGAAGAAUAAAAGAUUAAAAUUAAUUAAUUAUUUUUUAAAAAAAAAUUUGUAAUUGAAGAAUAUGCGCAAGAAAUGAAUACGCUAGCAAAUAUAUUAAGCAAAAUCAAGUUUGUACAAACCAACUCUCUUGAUCCGUGUUGUAUAUUUGCUGCCACUAGUUAGCCGCCGCUGUCAGAAAAUUCUUUUGGGAAUUUCGUUUGGAAUGCAAAUGCUUUGUGCAAAGAUCAUGAUGAUGAGGUAGAAUUGGAUGGCUUGGUGAUUGGUGUAGAAGCUAAGGGAAUCAUUUACAAAAGUUGUAAAACGUGUUCAAGGUGAUGGUGAAGGGUAUGGGUGGUGAUUUCCUCGCGGGCCGCGGCUGAGUUCAGUGAGUUGCUAAGGAAAUAAAGGGAUGAGGGGAAAGAGAGUGUGAACUGUAAAGUGUAGCCCAAAUUAGGGAUGGCAAAACGAAUAAACGAAUCGAAUUCAAAUCGAAUCGUAAACAAAUUGGGUCAAGAUUCUAUGGAUUCGGAUUCGAUUCGUUUAUUAAAUGAAUUGAAAUUUCAGGAUUCGGAUUCGAUUCGUUUAUUAAACGAAUAUUUUGUUCAAUUCGUUUAAUUCGUUUAAUAGAAUUGAUAAAUUAAUCGAAUCGAAUCCGGAUUCGUUUAUUAUUCGUUUAUCCUUAACGAAUCGAACCGAAUCGAAUCGAAUCAGGAUUCGUUACAAUUCGUUUAGAGAAAUAUAAUUAAUAAACAAAAUAAGUAAAAUAAAAUAUAAAAAAAAGAGAUGUGAAACUGUGAUAAACUGUAAAAUCAACCCUUGAUUGCUAAGAGAUGAAGGUAAANNNNNNNNNNNNNNNNNNNNNNNNNNNNNNNNNNNNNNNNNNNNNNNNNNNNNNNNNNNNNNNNNNNNNNNNNNNNNNNNNNNNNNNNNNNNNNNNNNNNNNNNNNNNNNNNNNNNNNNNNNNNNNNNNNNNNNNNNNNNNNNNNNNNNNNNNNNNNNNNNNNNNNNNNNNNNNNNNNNNNNNNNNNNNNNNNNNNNNNNNNNNNNNNNNNNNNNNNNNNNNNNNNNNNNNNNNNNNNNNNNNNNNNNNNNNNNNNNNNNNNNNNNNNNNNNNNNNNNNNNNNNNNNNNNNNNNNNNNNNNNNNNNNNNNNNNNNNNNNNNNNNNNNNNNNNNNNNNNNNNNNNNNNNNNNNNNNNNNNNNNNNNNNNNNNNNNNNNNNNNNNNNNNNNNNNNNNNNNNNNNNNNNNNNNNNNNNNNNNNNNNNNNNNNNNNNNNNNNNNNNNNNNNNNNNNNNNNNNNNNNNNNNNNNNNNNNNNNNNNNNNNNNNNNNNNNNNNNNNNNNNNNNNNNNNNNNNNNNNNNNNNNNNNNNNNNNNNNNNNNNNNNNNNNNNNNNNNNNNNNNNNNNNNNNNNNNNNNNNNNNNNNNNNNNNNNNNNNNNNNNNNNNNNNNNNNNNNNNNNNNNNNNNNNNNNNNNNNNNNNNNNNNNNNNNNNNNNNNNNNNNNNNNNNNNNNNNNNNNNNNNNNNNNNNNNNNNNNNNNNNNNNNNNNNNNNNNNNNNNNNNNNNNNNNNNNNNNNNNNNNNNNNNNNNNNNNNNNNNNNNNNNNNNNNNNNNNNNNNNNNNNNNNNNNNNNNNNNNNNNNNNNNNNNNNNNNNNNNNNNNNNNNNNNNNNNNNNNNNNNNNNNNNNNNNNNNNNNNNNNNNNNNNNNNNNNNNNNNNNNNNNNNNNNNNNNNNNNNNNNNNNNNNNNNNNNNNNNNNNNNNNNNNNNNNNNNNNNNNNNNNNNNNNNNNNNNNNNNNNNNNNNNNNNNNNNNNNNNNNNNNNNNNNNNNNNNNNNNNNNNNNNNNNNNNNNNNNNNNNNNNNNNNNNNNNNNNNNNNNNNNNNNNNNNNNNNNNNNNNNNNNNNNNNNNNNNNNNNNNNNNNNNNNNNNNNNNNNNNNNNNNNNNNNNNNNNNNNNNNNNNNNNNNNNNNNNNNNNNNNNNNNNNNNNNNNNNNNNNNNNNNNNNNNNNNNNNNNNNNNNNNNNNNNNNNNNNNNNNNNNNNNNNNNNNNNNNNNNNNNNNNNNNNNNNNNNNNNNNNNNNNNNNNNNNNNNNNNNNNNNNNNNNNNNNNNNNNNNNNNNNNNNNNNNNNNNNNNNNNNNNNNNNNNNNNNNNNNNNNNNNNNNNNNNNNNNNNNNNNNNNNNNNNNNNNNNNNNNNNNNNNNNNNNNNNNNNNNNNNNNNNNNNNUUAUUACCCCAUUUAUUAAACGAAAUCCUAAACGAAUAACAAAUCAAAUCUUUAACCUGUAUUCGAUUCGUUUAAUUAGCGAAAUCGGAUUCAAUUCACUCAUUUUAUUAAACGGAAUCAAUCUUUUCAAAACCCAAACUCAUUUAAAUUCGCCAUCGAAAUUGAAAUCAAAAUAAACGAAAUCCCUGACCCCAUAUUGCCACCCCCUAUAUAUUAUGUUUAAAAAUUACAAAUAUUAGCCCUUCAAAUUUUAAAAAAAAUUUCAAAUAAAUUUAAAAGAUAAAAAAAAGUAAUUUAAUUAAAACGGGAUAAUAAAACGAAUUUGAAAUGAAUCGACCUAUAUUCGAUUCGUUUAUGACCCAUUUAUUAAACGAAUCCUAAACGAAUAAACGAAUCAAAAUCUUCAAAUCCGCAUUCGAUUCGUUUAAUUAGUGAAUCAAAUCUAAUUCACCCGUUUAUUAAAUGAAUCAAUUUUUUCAAAUCCAAACCCAUUUAAAUCACAUCGAAUCGAAUCGAAUAAACGAAUCUUGACCCAUAUUGCCACCCCUAGUUUUAGACAUGUUCCAGUUUCCAAAGUCCUAAAUUUCAAAAUCAUUUUAAUAUUUAAUUAAUUUAGCAUGCAAUUACUUACGUACUGAAUUUUAUAUUAACAGUAAGGGUUGCAAAGUAGAAAUGUUCUUUUACAAUCUAUCUAAUCGAAAGGACCCCAAACCUUAUAGGAUGAAAUUGAAAAUUACUCAUUUAUAUAAAACACAAAUACUCAAUAAAUUUAAUAUUAUAUAAAAAGAUGUUGGCUGAUUACAAAAAGAUACAAGUAGCCAGAAUGGUCGUUGGCGACCUUUUAUUGUUAGAAUUUUUGGCAAUUGUAACAAUCAAUCUCAAGUAGUGAAAUACAUCAUUAGAUUCUAUUUUUCGAAAUAUACAUGAUGGUAGGCAUAGUUUUAGAAAUGAAGCAAUCGAAGCACUGCUCACACGGUGGCGAAAACUCCUCUUCGUCUAGCAGUGGCGAGUUAAAGUGCCAUGCUACCUCCAUCAGAUUAUUGAAGGUUGAGUUGAAUGGAGCUUAUGUGCACCCUAAAUCAUCAUUGACAGAAAGUAGGGUUUGGGCCACCAUGUAGUGACACAAUGUGUGAAAGACUUAAGGCAUUUUUUUAAAUUUUUAGAUUUGAAGUAACUUUUCUCCAUUUAGAUAAGGUUUAAUUUCAUAUUAUCGUCUUGUAAAAUGACAAUCUUUAAAUUAUUUGUUAAACUAUAGUAAACUCAGCUGAUCACUGUUAAAAAUAGAAGAUAACAAAAAUUUCAUAACACACCCUCAUUUUUUCCUUUAUUUUUUAAAUAAAAAAUAGAAUAAGUUGAAGUUUACGAUAAUUUGAGGUGUUUAUCAUUUCAUUUCAUGAAAUGAGGGCAAUCAUUGAAAAUUUACUAUGUGGUCAUAAUUAUAUUUACUAUUUUAUUUUAUUUCUUUUGUAAUGCGGUACAAAUUUAUUUUAGAUUUGAAGUUUAUAAGGUUCACGUAUGCAAAGAUGUGAGAUGGUAGAAGAUCAAUUUAUAUUAAAAUUCAUUAUUGUAUCAAUCGAAAGUAUGGGUUGCAAUUCAUGUCAUUGUCAAAUUCAAGUAAUGCAGGAUUUAGCUGGCUUCCACCUAUGGAAGGUCCCUUGUUUUGUCGUUAUCUGAAAUAACCAUUGGAUAUUUGAUUAGUUAAUGCAACAGCGAGAGCUCCAGUUUCAUAGCUUAAAAUUCAAUUUGAAUUAGCGACUGCAUAAGACGGGUUACUUAGAUAGGCGAGCGUUUAAAAAAUAUUUGUGAAAAAUUAGGGCAGUAAUAAAAUUCAAAACUUUUAUUGACUACAUGGAAGAUCAAAGUGGACUAUUGUGGUUUUGGUAUAUGUGUAGCUGACAUGAAUUUUGCGAACAAUUGUAUUGGAUAAAUUUUGAAUUAUUUUCCUCCUAAAUAGAUUAUCUUUAAAUCACUCAUUUAUUUUCAAAAAUUUUAAAUUACUCUUAUUUUUAAAAUUUAGGGGUGGGUUGAUGGAAUUUUUUUAAAAUCUUCUUAACAAAGUAAAUUGAAAAUUUUAAAAUACAAGAAUAACUUAAAGAUAAUUAAUAAACGAGUAGAAAAUUUAAAAUUAACCAAAUUACAUUUGAUGAUCCCCUUGUCGCGAAUUAAUUUCUUCAACGUUUAAUUUUUAGAACCAGCUCCAAUGAGUUGAGCAUUAGCUUAAUCUUGAAUUAAUUUUAGGUACUGGUUCCAAUGAGUUAAUUAAAGAAAUUAGUCAAAAUCGGAAAAUAUUAUUUCGAAAGUAUAUAUGUACUUCAUGCGAUGCGAAUUCCCAAGAACCAGAAAUUCGAAAGCAAGCGAAAUUAAUUGUUAAUUAAUUAAUAUAUGAUAAGAAUACGAUGCAAAUUCGUUUGUGAUAAUAAAUAGAUUGAGGUAAAUACAACAUGAUAAUUAAUUAAUCAUGUCAAUUUCUAUAACAAACAUGGCGAAAAUUUAUAUAAAAACUUCUAUUACCAACAUUACCACCUAACCAAAAGAACCAAUUAUGAAUUUAUGACGAUCGAAGAAUUUUAAAAUUCAUUAAAGGUAAUACAACUAAUUAAUGUAUGUAUAAUAUGUAUAAUUGAAUUUAAUGUAACAACUAUUUGCAUAAUUAUUUUUUAAAAUAAAUGUACAUAUAUUAUAACAUUAAUUAUUUGUUGUAUAAUUGACAUGAUAUUUCUAAUAUAUUCUAUAAUUUCUCUUCUCUAUGAAGGUCAAAAUUUCACGUAAGAAAAAAACUGAUCAUGAAGAACUAAAUAAUAUUGAUAUGUUAUUAAAUUAUUUUUUAUCGAUAAUAAAUUAAGUUACUUCAUAAGUACACUUGGAGUAUUAUAAUAUUUUAAUUCAUUAAUUUGUUUUGAUUUUUUAAAAAUCAAAUUAAGGUAUCUGAAGGUGUUGGUUAAGCACUAGACCUAAACCUAGUUGACAUUAUAUUACUUCACUUGUUUCCUUUUUUAGCUAGGUAUGUGUUAAUGUUAAUUCGUUAUCUGAAAGUUGAAAAAACAAUAGAAAGAAGAAAAAUCCGACACUCUUUUGAAACAAUUAAUAGAAUCCACCAUCAAAGUCUUAAUUACUACUUAAUUUAAUUGAUAAAUGAUCUUAAUUGCAGCUUUGUUUGAAUGAAGCCCUUUUAUAGGAGGUUACUAUGUUACAGAUUCUGUAACAUACAGCACCAAUGCAUGCACCACAGGUGUCCUGCUUAUGGAGAAAAAAAGCAGCAAAUGCUUUUGUCUGGUAGCUGGUUAAGCAGAAUCUGUAACUUAGCCUGCUCCCUUUUUAUAUGGUUCUAGUGCGUGGAACCAUGAUUUUAUGGGUCGUCAGGGGUUGUAAUCUAAGUAUAAUAUUAUUUAAUUUGAGGUGGCUAAUCAGUAAAUUCACAAAAAAUAGAUAAAAAUUUAGUUUUUCGGCCAGAGCCCAGAGGGUUGGGCCGCCUCGCCAUAAUUCGGCCACAUUAUUUAAUUUGCAAAUACAAUUAUCGCUUCACAAUACCGCAUUUUAAUCGAGAAGGGAGGGUAAUUGUCUUAGUUAAAUUCUUUUAAUUGUGGAGAAUAAAACUAAUUAAUUAAUCUUUUGAGUUACCUUAAUUUUGAUUAAUUAGUCAAUGUUUUACAGACAGCUAAAUUAUGAGUGAUUUUUGAGACUGUAACAUUUUUGAAAUUACGUUUAUCUUGUAUAGUCAUCUCAUAAAAUUGUUACAAGUUUUAUAUACCUUGAGAAAAUGUUGUAACAAAAAUUAUGACAUUAAUGACAUAAUAAACGUAAAUUUUAUAAAUUACACAUAAGACUGGUAGAUUAAUAGAAGACUAUUAAUUAUUAAAAUAAUCAGAUUGAUUUUUACAAAAUUUUAGUGAAAAAUAUUUUAUUUAUUUACUUUAAUUAAAUGAAAAAUCACCCAUGAAUUGAAAAAAAAUAUAUAUUCAAAACAAGUGGAGUAAGUUUUAUUAAAUUGGUUUAACCAUAAAUUCUUAUAGGAUAUUUAUAAACCAUUUUUUUUCAUUUUCUAUAAUAGCAUUUGUUUACUACACAAGUAAUUAAGUGAAUCAUUUAUCUUGAUGUGGAUCAAGGCAAAACAAAAUAUACAAGACUUUGCUAUAUUACUAGUCACUUAUAUGGUAUAACAAUAAAAUUAGAUCUUAUUUUGAGUCAUGUGCAUACUUCAUAUAGUUUUAAACUUUUCUCCUUACUUGUACUCAAGAUCAUUCCGGAUUGCUAUUAAAGGUGUAAAAGGAAGCAAAAUUAGUUCAUUUGACAACUGCUUUGAAAAACAUUAAUAGAAUAGUUUUUUCAAAUUUUAAUUUUGGGAAUAAAUUUUAUCCUUAAUAAAAUGUCACAUGCAUUAUAUAAAACAAAAACUAUCAUUAUUCAAUUUAAAUACAAAAUAAGUAAAUAUAUAAGAUAAUCAAUAUUAUAACUUAAUUGAUGUGAAAAUUUGUUUAAUAUUAUCAAGUGAAUUAUUAAUAAUGAUUAAAACUUAUAAUCAUACUCAAGCACACAUUAGCACGAAAAUUUGUACCAACAUUUGCACUCGAGCCUGAUUCAUUAACCAUAUUUUUUAUGUUAUAUUAAUUAUUGGUUAAUAGACACUGAUCUGCAUGGAACCUCAUGGAUAAGACUCUCGUCAAUGCGCUCUAUAGUUGCACGAAAAAUCCAUGCACAGUUUACAAAAACAAUAGUCAUCAAUUUUAAACGUCACAAUCAUCACCAAAGGAACAUAAAGUUCAACGCAUGAUAAGACUAUCUUGCGAAGUAUAUUAAUUUUAUUAUACGAAAAAGGUCUCGCAUUUGCAAGCAUAAAAGUUGAAAAUUACAAAAGACACACCAGAGAUUCGAUUGACACACACAGCAACAAUCCACAAGCAUGAAAAUGACAAGAACUUUUCUGUUUCUACAUGUGGCUGUUUAUUCUUCAUUAAAAAAAAAAGAUAAAAAAGAAUCAAACGCGGCAACUCGAUCGACCGCUAUCUUGCUCUCAGUAAGCUUAUCAUCAAACCCUUUCUUUAUUCGGAUACCAUUCGCCUCUCCUACAAGAACAAAUUAAUCAGUCUCUUUUAUUUGUCACUUAAUCACUAGGAACACAAUUAAACAGAACACGGUGCUUAAAAUUGAAAUGCUUAAUGUAAUUCUGAACUACUAGUCUUUACAUGUACAGUUUUAAAAAUAAAUGAGAUUACCAUAAAAGCAUGAGCUAUUCAUGGCCGCUUUCUAGUAGUAGUAAGGAGGAGGGGGAGAUGAAUAGACGUAAGGGUGAGGUGACGGUGGUGGUGGGGACUUGUAGACAGGAGGUGGCGGGGAAUAGGAAAUUGGAUUUGGUGCCGGAGCAGGCUCGUAGACUGGUGGAGGAGGUGGCGGGGAGUUGUAGAGCGGGGGUGGUGGUGGAGACUUGUGAGCCGGUGGCGGGGGUGGUGGAGAUUUGUACUGGGGAGGGGGAGGUGGUGGUGGUGGAUAUUUCUUUGGUGGGGGAGGAGAUGUGUAGUAGUAAUUGUUUGCGGAGGCUUCUAAUGGCAAGUAGCUAAGAGAGACUGAUAUUACCAAAAGAGUGGCAAAGAGAUAGCCCGUUUGAGACCCCAUCGUUCAAUACAAAGUGGAGUUUCGCUUGUGCUAUAAACCAAGCUCCUUCCCCUCCUUAUAUAGACUUGGCUUUUUACCUGCUCUACCAAACUUGUCAUAUAUAACCUUGAUGUUAAACAUUAGUAACUAAAUUAUUCUGGUUAUGUAUGAAAACGGUGUCAUCAAGUUGGCACAAAUUUGACUAAAUAUAAAAUUUUAUGAUUUUGUUAGUGGCUAGCUGUUGCCCAAGCAGGGAAUAAAGUAAUUAAAAGUCAAGAUCCUUUUAAUGAUAUGGCAUUUUUUGUAUCAAUGAAAUGAUUUGACCAGGAAGUCUCCGUGAUUUACUUCAAUAUCAUCAUUCUUCAUGAAGAGCUUGAAAACAUGUAUUUUAUUACCUAACCUAUCAUGAAUUUUUUGGCCUUGGGUCCAGGCGGCGAGACUUAUUUUCAACUUCAUAUUCAUUUAUUUAUUUUCACUUCGUAGUUAAUUAAUCGUUUUAAUUUCCCCAAAAAUAAGUAGCUAGCGAUAUAUUUAUCAUAGCUUUAAUUUUACUUUCUUAUGAACUACUUUUAAUUCUCUUAUCUCACGGUGAAAUUAAUUUUCUCCCAAGAAUGUUAACCGAAAGAGCAACGUAGUGGAAGAAAAACACUACAUAUCGUAUAAGUACUUAACAGUUGAAGGUCAGCAUGGAAUGACAUUAUGGAAAUUAUCGGUUGGCCGUUUGAAGUUAACGGGUCACCGUUUACUUCCAGAAUUACAGUUUUAACCAAAUUUUGCAGGGAAUUAUUUUUCAGUUAAAGUUAACGAUUAUCCAUAUUUCAUGAACACAUUUAGAAAGAUUAUACGACUUUUGAGAAAUUGUUUAUUAAUGAAAACUCCAACAUUUUAAUAAAAAACAUUUAAAGUUUGUUAUCAUCAAAAUCAAUAUAAUGAACAUCUACAUGUUAACAGUUAGGCCUUGAUUAUUUUUUAAAUCUUAUAAAAACGAAAUAUCAAAUGGCUAAAGUAAUAAAAUCUUAAAACCCUAAAAUAACGUCCUACAUCAUUAACGGGUAGUGGAAACAACCUAGUCAUUAUGUAUUAACUAAUUAGUUUAAUUUCAUUCGUUGUGGUUGGUAGUUCGUGGAUCUUUGAAUAUAUAUUCAACAUCAAUCAACAUGUUAAGGACCUGUGCAUAUAGUUGAACAAAGUACGAAAUUAUAAAAUUGAUCCAAAAAAAGAGAUCUCGCAUUUGCAUGCACAAAAACUGAAAAUUACAAAAGACACACCAGAGAUUUGAUUGACACACGCAGCAACAAUCCACAAGCAUGAAAAUGACAAGAACUUUUCUGUUUCUACAUGUGGCUGUUUAUUCUUCACUAAAAAAAAAAGAUAAAAAAGAAUCAUACGCGGCAACUCGAUCGACCGCUAUCUUGCUCUCAGUAAGCUUUUCAUCAAGCCCUUUCUUUCUUUAUUCGGAUACCAUUCGCCUCUCCUAAUAGAAGAAAUUAAUCAGUCUCUUUUAUUUGUCACUUAAUCACUAGGAACACAAUUAAACAGAACACGGUGCUUAAAAUUGAAAUGCUUAAUGUAAUUCUGAACUACUAGUCUUUACAUGUACAGUUUUAAAAAUAAAUGAGAUUACCAUAAAAGCAUGAGCUAUUCAUG
rnacentral:lncRNA from 1 species